CUGGGAAUGAGUUGGAAGCAGACGCAGCCUCAGCGCGCAGAUCUGCCCUGCCGGAGACAGACAGAGCGGGGAGGGGGCAGGAUAAAAAGGACCUCUCCUGCUCUGCAUAAGGAAAGCCCCCCUGCCGGCGCCUCAGGGGCGAGAUGUAGGGCUUGCAGGAAAGGUGAGUGUGCGCGGACAACCUGCCGGGCUCUCCCGUCCUUGGCUGGGCAAGCGGAGAUGCCGCCGCCGCCGCCGCCGCCACCGCGCGCGCAGGGAAAGGGGGAGUCCCCGCGCUUGAAGGAGUUCCUCCAGCACCACCUAGACAGCCAGAAAGUGUCUGACAAAGUGAGGAGAGGCCCAAGUUGAAGGUCUGCGGCUCUUAAAGGGACACGGGCACUCUUCUCGGGGGUUGCCCCAGAACAGAAGGUGCUUCUCUUCUCUCUCUCUCCCCCUCUCCUUUGUGUCUUUGGCACGCAGGCAAAGUGCGUGCAGGAGCGGCGAGUGUGUGGCUGGAUGCAUGUACCGCACGCCUCAUGUGAACAGAAGCACACACGUUAGACGGGGACUGCCCGCACACGCACACAGCCGAGACGUUUGGGUUGUUAAUAUGGCACGCGCGCACGCACACACAUCCAUAUCCGGACUGCACAUUCCAGUGGGUCCUUUCCCGGAUUGGCGUAAUAUCCAUCCAUGAGGAAGGAGGCAUCUGUCUUGCCGGAGCUGAAAUGAAAGUAGCAAACUGGGAACGAAAUUCUAUCAGGGCUUCCCUCCCAUCCGUUGGUAUUCCUCUUACCUUGUCAGCCAGGGGUUUGGUUACAAGCUGUGACACGUAGUUAACCACCCUGGCAUCACUCUUCUUUCUUUCUUUCUUUCUUUCUUUCUUUCUUUCUUUCUUUCUUUCUUUCUUUCUUUUUAAAAUCAAGUGAUUCUUUUUGUCUUCCCUGACAGGGCUUUUUGGAUGGUUGUCUGUGCAUUGAGGUUUCACCUAGGUACUGUACAUUGUUUUGUUGGGGAAUCUUCCCAGCUGAGGAUAAAGCUGGAAAGUGGUUCAUAUGCAUUUCCUGAUUUGCGCCUGUGGUUUUGAAGGAGCUGCUUUGGAAAUCUAGAUACAGUUUAAGCUGGUGCUGCAACGUCUCAUGUCACUGCAAAGCAAAGCUUUUUAUUGCGGGACCACUUAAUAUCUAUGAAACGUAAUAGAGAGAUGAGGCAAGUUGAAGAAUUGUUUUAAAGCUAAUACUUGGAAACAUUUUUUUUACCUGUGCAUGUCGUUGUUGGGAAUGGUUAAUUUUGCACGUCAGUAAAAAUCUGGAUGCAUCAAAUGGUUCUGUGGUCCAGAGAUGUCCCAAGAGAUUGUUAUAGAAGUGGCUGCCUGCUGUAAACUAUCAAAGGAAUUAUGCAUGCAACUUUUUAAAAGAGAAACUCAGACGAUAAGCAUCCACUGAGAAGUCUGUACUUAGGGAAUGUCAGUACUUGCAGAAUUGGCUUGUGCUUUCCCCCACAUUUCUUUUAUGGGGGUUCUUACCUCUACCUUUUGGUAGAGCAUAUGCUGAUGGGAUGAGCUGGGAAAGUGAGUUCUGUUCUUUGGUGUAGAUUUUUAUGUGUUGAGGUAGAUGAAUUUCCUAUGUCAGUGGAAUGAUUUUAAUGGAGUGUUGUGUGGGGUUACAUUAAUACCAAAGCCAAGUCUUAUGUGUGUUACUUUCAACUUUUGACCUUUAAUUCUUCAAAGUUUUUCAGAGUGCAUCUUCCAGUGUGUAAAUCAGGGACGGGGGACAUGGUAUGUUGUUGAACUUCAACUCACACCAUCCUUUGCCAUUGGCUGUUCUGACUGGGGCUGGUUGGGGAUGAGGGACCACAAGUCCCUUGGAGUUAGUGGUGCCAGUGAUGCAAUUAUUUACUGAGCAAUUUCCAGUACAGUUCUAUGCAUGUCUACUCCAACUCAUACAUCACUUAACUGGAGCUUAGUCACAGGUCAGUGGGUAUAGGAUUGCAUCCUCAGUGUGGUAUGAAAAGGAAAUUCAGGUGUUGUGAAAUGUUACUACGGUACUUUAGAAUGGGUACUAUCACUUUUGCAUGCUUUUAGUGUGUGUGUGUAUUAAUAUGAAUUAAUAAUUUAAUUGCAAGCCUCCUGAAAAAUAAAGGCAUAGGAAGUAUCUCAGGCAGUUUUUAUAUCUGCUGGAAGCUGCCCAGAGUGGCUGCAGCAACCCAAGCAGAUGGGCAGAGUAUAAGAAUGAUAAUGUCAAAGAACUAAUUUUGCAUUUAAGUAUCUGACAGUCCUACAUAUGUUUACUCAGUGGUAAGUCACACUGUAUUAAAUGGGACUUACUCCCAGGUAAGGUUCAUAGGAUUGCCAUCUAUGGGGUUACAGUCAACUAAAUUCUACUCAAAGUAGAUCCAUUGAAAUUAAUAGAACACUAACAUUUGUUUAUUUUGAGCAGGAGUAGCUUUGAGUGCAACCCUAAGAAUAUGAUUACUUGUAACUAUAGAUUAAUGUAGUGAAGAGACUGGCUUUUGGGAGAAGGGUUUUAAAUGGGCACGGUUUCAACUUUUUCCUAUUUCUGAUUGCUAGGGUAACAUUUCAAAGUGAUUACCACAGUACAAUCCUAUACAUGUCUACUCAGAAGUAAGUGAGCUCAGUGGGAUUUAUUCUCAAGGCAAGUGGUAUAGAAUUGCAGCCUGUCUAUUUAACAGAAGGUUUAUAUUCCAGUUAGCGCCGUUGCUAAUUAUAUUUGUUUGCAGAUGGUACAAUUGUUCUGCAGGUACUUGGAAGCGUGUAAACACUGCCGUUACCCUGUUGCUUGAAAUACAGUGGACAGUUUAUUGGGCAGGACAUUAUGGGAGACAGCAUAUAUUAAAACUAGUGAAUGUCCCUACUUAGUUGCCAGAUGAAAUAGUGACAAAAUGUUCUGCACGUCUAUAUCUGUACUGGUGUUUUCAGCACAAAGUAUUGAGUUACUGACUGUGAGUGUGCCACAAGAUUCUGUAGUAUCAAAAUCUCAACUGCAACGUAUCCUAUAUGCUUGUAUAUAUGAAGACAUAUCUCUGAAUAUUUUAUGCUUCGCAGUGUAUUCUGUUGUGACUCCCAGGUCAGUGGAUUUGUAGGCAUUUCCUUUUUCCCUCUCCCUCUCUGUCUUUGAUCAGGUGCUAUAUGUUUCUGAUAAUAUAGAGUUCUAUAUAAAGUUGGGGGGGGGCAGACCUCCAAAGGCAAUAACAUUGGCAUUGAUUAGAUUUACACUGUGGGUAACUUUGCUUUUAGGGGACGUGGGUGGCACUGUGGUCUAAACCACCGAGCCUAGGGCUUGCCGAUCAGAAGGUCGGCGGUUCGAAUCCCCGCAACGGGGUGAGCUCCCAUUGCUCGGUCCCUACUCCUGCCAACCUAGCAGUUCGAAAGCACGUCAAAGUGCAAGUAGAUAAAUAGGUACCGCUCCGGCAGGAAGGUAAACGGUGUUUCUGUGCGCUGCUCUGGUUCGCCAGAAGGAGCUUAGUUAUGCUGGCCACAUGCCCCGGAAGCUGUAUGCCGGCUCCCUCGGCCAGUAAAGCAAGAUGAGCGCCACAACUCCAGAGUUGUCCACAACUGGACCUAGCGGUCAGGGGUCCCUUUACCUUUUUAACUUUGCUUUUAGCUGUUGACGUCCGUUUCCCGUGUUGUGUAUUUAGUUGGCAGGUUUGUUUCUUUCCUGAGGGAGGUGGCCCAGCCUGGCUCUGUGUUCAGCUCACCUGCCCUUUUUCCGCAGGGUCAGGAUUUGUGCCUCUGUGAAAACUGAGCUACCAAAACUUUAAAGAGCAUGAGAUGAAGUGAUGUGAAGGCUAGUGCCUGUGCUACCACAGCUGCCCUGCUGCUCUCUUGCCCUGCUGAGGGAACAUGCUCAGAGCAUCCCGACCCCAGCCCAGCACUUAACUCUCUACAGCAGAUCUGCUUGUCAGUUCAAGCCAAUAUGUGGAAUGCAGACACCUUCCCACUGCCUUCUGGAUCUUGUUCACCCUUAGAGUUUCAGGGCCAGCAUUGUGACAGGGGCUCUCUGUCAUUAGUUAUUGCCGAGAGGACAAAUUCUAUUGUAAGUUUUUUCUGUCAGAGUCCCAUUUCUCAGUCGUCUUCUUUUUGUUUUUCUGCUUUGCCUUUGGAAACUUUGCCCCUUAGCUUCUCUGUCUCAUGAGGCUUAGCUUUCCUGUCGUUGGUCUUCUUGCAGAUGUCCAUUCUAGCUACUUCCAUCUCUAAGGCAGAUGUGGACUUUUGAUCCCAUCCAAACCAACCACUUGAUGCCUUUCAAAGGAGGGGGCAUCUUUGUCUAGGAUAGGCUAGUUUUCUUGAUGGUUUUUUUGAGUCAUCAUAGCAGCUUAUCCAAUUGCUGUGUGUUUUCACUACCAAGGCAUAUUACAGUAAUGGUUUUCUAAUAUUCUCUCUUCAGACUGAUUUGUAGCAUUCCUGGAAAAGUUAAACUUUUGAGCGUGGUGCUUGGAGGUACUUGAGGUGUGUCUGUGCUUUAUAAUUUUUUUCCUACCUGAUUUUUGUGCGUGCUGGUUCUUUAAAAUCUACGUUCUGACUUCUGUGUAAAUAUUAUUGGAACUGUGCACCAUAUGUAGAAGUAUAUAAAACCAUUCGUAUGCUGUUGGUGGGUUCUUGUUCUCAGUUUGGAUUUCUUAAUAUUGUUUUUAUUUUAGUGUUAAUUCAGGAUUAAGGAAAAUAAUUCAGUGGGAAUAUUUGCACUUGACAUAACGCAUAACCUCUUCUAUAGCAUUUGUUUCUUGGUGGGUGAGUACUAUACUUGAAAGGCCUAUGGUUUGGGAGUAGCAUCAUUCGUGUGUGUUAUUAUCCACAAGGGAGACAACACAUUUUGAAAGGUUUUCAGGCAAUUAUUCCAGGCUUGGUCUAUAUAACUGUUGAAUUUGCCCGUGGCACCCAGCCAACAUCAGCUGUUUAUUAAAUGACCUGAUGCCAGUGCACUGGUGCACCCGCUGUUAAGAAUCCAACCUGUCUUGUCUAAAAGUUCUUAUACGCAUUUCCCCUCCUUUCCCCCAAAUAAUUGCUGUUUCUAAGAAUAGCCUGUUUGCCUUGGAGAUUGACCAGGUAACAGAUUUCUAACAUAGAUGCACCUUUUUCUUGUUCGUAAUAAACAACACAAGAAAGAAUACAAUCCUCUGUUCCUGAAUGCAAGAUCCUUGUAGGUUUUGUGCACUCAAGUAAGAGGGAAUAAUUAGGGUGAUGCUAAAACAUAGUUAUACUAUUUUAUACAUAUUUAUGUAUCUGUAUUCGUGCUUUUUAAGUGUAAUGUUUGUAUGAUACUUAUGUGGAAUUGGCUUGCAACAUUUUGUGCUAUUAUUAAUAAAAAAAGGAACAUUAUCAACAGACGGCACAUCCAACAUCUUGUGUUUCACACAUUCACUGAAAAAGAGGGAAAGGAUAAGAAGGUCAGAUUUCACAAUAGAAGGAAGAGGAGAUAAUGUGUACAGGCCAUCUUACCUCUGAUACCAUCCUUGUUCCCUAGUUCUGAAAUGCCCCCUAACAAUUAAUCAAGGCAGUGAUGGAUGUCAUUUUCUAGGCUUUCCGCAGAAGUUGGUAGUUGCGUCUGCAUUAUAAAUCCAGCUGCAUGAAUAUUUUGUUAAGAGAUGCUUGGGAUGUAUGAGUUCAUCUAAAGCAUUAAUGCCAUUGAUUUAAUUGCACUAAAGCCAAAGAGAAGAUGUUAUCAUGUUUAUUUACAAUUUUUAAAAAGAACUUAAUAAAGAAAGGAUUGUGUCUGUGCAGUACUUGCCUUAUUGUUUAUGAUAUCUCUUACAAAUGGUGCCACUACUUCACACUAUUUUCUUUUGGGUCUCCACUGUGCUAUAAAGAUAGCUGUAGUUGGGUACAGCUGAAUAAAAGUUUUGAUUCUAUUGCUUAACAGUCUUUGAUUGCCACAGCUGUACUGUAUAUUUUACCUCUGUUCUCUAAUUUAUCCAUAUGUGUCCCUGUAAGGCAGGAGUGGGGUACAUUUUUCAGCCUACAGGUCCCAUCCCCUAGUGAGUAACUUGCAAGGAGCAGUGGCUAAGGCAAUGGAUGUGACUGCUGCUUUAGUACAGUAGCCUAACAUCUAGCUUGCAAGGAUCGCCAUCCCUUCAUCCAGGCAAGCACAAGGCAGUAUUGCAGUUCAAGGACUCAUCUAGUUGGUGAGGAGAACUGGAGGGAGUUGUGGAGCAGGGUCAGUGAAGUCUGGCCCACGGAGGAUGUAUGGCUUGCUGAGAGACCUGGAGGGCCGUAUAUGACACCUAGGUCCAGCCCUGCUGUAAGGCUUUUAGUACUUUGGUUACUUGAGGAGCUGGUAGAGCUUAAUCAUGCCAAGUGCUGGAGAUACCUAUGGAUCUAGUCCAGUUCUUCUUUUCAGAGGGAAAAGGUUUGAAGUGUUGCUUAACAGGCAUUGUUAAAUUGCUUAAAAUUCUUGUAGGGGUAUUUGAAGUUUCUAACUGAACUAGACCUAGUAGGGCAACCUGGUUCUACAGCUAAAAUAGUUGCUUGAGAUGGCAUCAUUCAUCAGCAGCUCAGUUACCAGUGUUGAGUGGGGAGUUGUCUGAAUGGUGGGGUGGGUGUCAUGGGUAAUCCAUAGAAGAAACUGAUGUCAGUAGUAAAAUUGGCUAGUUUUUAAAAGAUGCAUCUUAUAUUGUAAUAUAUCUGCCAGCGCAUAUAUAAGAAAAUGAAAACCAUCCCUUUUAAGUAUAUGCCAGCACUUAUGUCUCAUUCCUUUUCUUUUGCAAAACCUAUGCAACAUGACAUGUCCCCCAUUUGAAAGUACAACUUGAGUAAAUCUCUUGCUGAACUUGUUGUUCUUACAGGUUUGGAAAGGAUGAAGAACUGAAGGGUAAUUUCUGUGUUGAUUGGCAACGGAGAGCUUUUUUAGAUGAAGUAUGGUUGCACUGUGCCAAAUGGUUGACUUUUCUAGAAGGAAAAAACUCCAAAGGUUAUGUGAAAAGUACUCUGGUUAAUAUAUUGGCAUUCCCAGAACCCACUAAAACUUGGGCAGGUUGCCAGAUACCACUUAAUGAGGAUGCAGAAUGUCUGGCACAAAUCUGCAUAAACACAAAAGAAUUUCAGAAAAGGGAGUUUGUGAGUGUAAGUUGCAUAUCUCUGUCUACGAUUAAUUUUUAAUUACUAUACUUUUGCACUUAAGAUAGAUGGAAGUCUUUCCAAUUAGAUUGAGCGUUGCAUACACAACAUUUUGUGUCUUUCUGUUUUUGCCUCUCAUUUAUAUUGCUUGUGGGGAAGUGGAAUCAGAGCUGGAUGUGUUCUCCAAGCCCACAAUCACAGUGUGCACGCACACGCACAGAACAAUGGGCUGGAUUCAGGCUUAGGCUGCACUCCUAACCCUGUUUACCUGUGAGUAAGCACCAUUGCAUUCAGUAGGACUUACUGCUGCAUAGACAUGGUUAGGAUUAUGCUGUUAGACAUGCUUAGAGCAGACCCCAUGGAAUCAAAUUAGUCAUCAUGACUAGCUUAAUGCCGUAUCCUGAGCUUUCCUUUAAAAACAACAGCAAGUAAGUUCUAGCCCUUCAUGCCGCAAAGAAAUACUUUUUUAAGAAAAGGGUGGAGCCUGCUAAAAUAUUAGAUGUGGGUGUGGUAGGCUGGCUGAGCAGGGUUUCCAGUGUUCAGAUACGACUUUUGUAUCCUGCAUACUCUCUUUGCCCUUUGAAAUAAGCAGCGAUUAAGCGAAAUAUACUCUGAUUUUUAAAAAUCUGCAUAAUGUCUCUAAGUUGCAGGAAUCUCAGUCAGAAGGUCCCAGGUUCAUUCCUUGGCACCGCCAGGUACAGUUGGGAGAGACAGCUGCCUGAAAUCCUGCCAGUCAGUGUAGACAACACUGAGCAAGGUGGACCAAUGACCUGACUUGGUAUAAGGCAGCUUCCUAUGUUCUUAAAUAAUACUGGGAAAGACUUCUGAUUUGAGUCACAAGUUGCUGUUGUUUAGUUGUUUAGUCGUGUCCGACUCUUCGUGACCCCAUGGACCAGAGCACGCCAGGCACUUCUGUCUUCCACUGCCUCCCGCAGUUUUGUCAAACUCGUGCUGGUAGCUUCGAGAACACUAUUCAACCAUCUCGUCCUCUGUCGUCCCCUUCUCCUUGUGCCCUCCAUCUUUCCCAACAUCAGGGUCUUUUCCAGGGAGUCUUCUCUUCUCAUGAGGUGGCCAAAGUAUUGGAGCCUCAGCUUCACGAUCUGUCCUUCAGUGAGCACUCAGGGCUGAUUUCCUUCAGAUUGGAUAGGUUUGAUCUUCUUGCAGUCCAUGGGACUCUCAAGAGUCCCCUCCAGCACCAUAAUUCAAAAGCAUCAAUUCUUCGGCGACCAGCCUUCUUUAUGGUCCAGCUCUCACUUCCAUACAUCACUACUGGGAAAACCAUAGCUUUAACUAUACAGACCUUUGUUGGCAAAGUGAUGUCUCUGCUUUUUAAGAUGCUGUCUAGGUUUGUCAUUGCUUUUCUCCCAAGAAGCAGGCGUCUUUUAAUUUCGUGGCUGCUGUCACUAUCUGCAGUGGCCGAGCUGAAACUUUUCAUUGUUUUGCUUCUCCCCCAACCCUUGAAAGUAGCAGUGAGAUAGUGGAGGGGCUCCCCCUGCACCCUGAAAUUGCUACCUCAGAGUUGAAAAGCAUAACAAUGAGCUCAACCACACCAGCAAGUCAGUACUAUUUCCAUUUUACGGAUGCGUGGCUGAAGCUGAGAGAGAAUAGCUUGCCAGGUUUUCCUUAGUGCCGACGGGCCCCCCCUCCACCACUGCAACAUCCCAUGCCAAGUAUACCCAGUCACAGCUAUGGGUUGCAGUGAGUUUGAUGAAAUCUUUUUAUUCACUUAUGCAUUUAAGAAACGGUAGGUUUUGUCAGACUGUUUAUAUGACAGUGCAAGUCUGUGCUUGCCAAGAUCCAGACAGUCUGUUAAUGUUACAUGCCGGGAUAAAUAAAUUACAGUGUCUGAGACAGAAACGUGCUCGCAUUUGGUGCAAACCUGUGAUGUGUCCCUACAGAGAUCUGCUGGCAUCUCAGAUUGUAACAGGGUCAGGUAACAUCAGCACCUAUUUAUUAAUUUAUGGUUUGAUAACCUACACUAUCCCCAAAAGCGCUGGUGAUAUUUAUAAGCGAUAUUUUGUAAAAUAGAUGAACACGUGUUUUUUAAUGCAGCAAUUUUUAGAAUGAUUGCUAAAGCGAUAAUGCUGCUUACAUCUAACCAAUUCAAUAACCUUAAGAAAUCUUACAUCACUAUGAGGAGAUGCUUAGGUUUGAAAUUUGGCAAACCUGCUGGAGAGCAGAGUCCAGAGCCAAAGUAUCGUUUUUGAUGAACGGAGAGUGGUGCCGUAAGGCAAUCUGAGUUUUCUUUGGGAAUGUGUGGAAGGACGCGGCAGGUCAGGUAGCCUUCAUGGCUGUUCUUAUUCUUCCAGGUUCUGCUCCCAUGGUAACUUGAGCACUGUGCUCUUCUGUCACAUCUGUAUAGGUCGUUGGUGAGGGGCAAAUGUGACAAUUGCUAUAGACUUUCCCAGUGGAAGUGCUAACUGUAGAUCAUUGCUAAAGUGCUAAUGUGAAUCCUCUCCCCCCACCACCAGGCAAAAAAAUUUAAAAGGAAGCUGAUGAAUUGGAUGUCCUUUGUUUUGGGGUACUAUAUAUGAUAUUAUUGUUGGGAUACUGCAAACUUUAUUGAAUAGCUUGCAAGGCCAUUGUAGUUUAAAACAAUAAUAUGUGGUUGCCCUAGAACCAAACUACUUGUAUUAUUAAAUGUGAGAAUGCAUUCGUUGGUUUUUUUUUAAUUUAAACAAAAUAACAGCCAGAUCUGGGGGCUUCAUGAGGAUUGGGACUGCAUCUGUGGCAUACAGCAUGUGUCUGUGUUGUGUGUGUGAGUUAAACCCUUACCUCUACACUGUGGUACAGGUGAAAAUCCCCCCACCCCAUCCCAAAGUUCUGACAUCUUCCAUUGCAGAGGGAAUAGCAGCUUUGGAGCCCAUUUUUUCCAGUACUUAAUGGAAUCUAUAAUGGGACACAGUGUUGUUUUGUCACAUAGAAUACAUAUGAAUUUAAAAUAUAAUUAUCACAAGGCUUCCAUGGGUGAAUAGGAAGACUCAUGGUGUCCUGGUUGCCCAAAUAUCCAUUUUAUCUGUAGCAUGUCUUUACUCUUUUUCAGCUUCUAUCAUUUCUGUUUGUUGUAGCUACACCUUUUUAUUUCUGUAACAGAAAUCCCACCUUAGCCUUCUCCAAAAUAUGUUAGAAAAGCCUAUUUUUAUGGUAUAGUCAUGCUGACACUGUACACUUUUGGUUUCUCACUAGGGAAUUGUUUGUGUUUUCCCCCUUACCCACGGGGAAGCUCUGUGACUUAGAGACAGGAAAGCUAUUACAGAACAACAUCUCUGACACCUUUCUUUUACCAGUGAGCUUGGGGUAAGAGGUGUUGCAGUAUGUGCGUUAAUUGAACAAAAUUUUCAUUCUGACUUCUUAGAUGUGAGAUCUUGGGGGAAACUGCAUAAGGUUUCCUUCUACUCAAGGAGAUGGAUAAAACCACUGUAUGUGAACUUGCCCUAAAAGUAAACUCUUGUAUUAGAAUGAACAACUCACUGGCUCUCUUACCAACGCCUUUUACUUAAAAUUUCCAGCUGAGACCUCAUUUUUGGCUGAAAGCAUCUUGUAACUUCUUGCAGCAACAGUCCCAAAAUAUGUGUACUGAUCAUAGCUGAGACUGAAAUGGCCACUGGAAUUUACAGAGAGCUUUGAUAAAAGUGGUCCAGAUGUGGCACAAUUCUUGCCAAUGAAUGGUCAAGUCAGAUCUUUCUCCCAAUUAUUUGUGUCUGAAUAUGCUUUUCAGGACUCCUUGUCUCAUGGUUGUGUCACUAGGCAUGCUGGUGUAAGUUAAGUCCGAUGUAAAGUUACACCAGAUACAAACCUUACUUAGUAUCAGGGCUGCUGCUGGCCACAUGACUGAGGUGAACAGACUUAGGAUCCAGCCUGAGCCCUCUCUGGUCCUGCCCCCACCAUGCCCCCAGAACUCCCCUUUUUUGACCUCAGCUGAACCCCUGUUGAGUUGGGGUGAGCAGGUUAUUUUGAUGUAUCUAUGAGCCAGGAAUCCGAUGGAUCCUAACCUUCUCAUUCUGGCAUUUCUUGCCAUAAGACUGUCAUCUUAAUGUUACCAAGCAUGAUCUUUGAUUGUAAUUUUUAUUUCUGUUUUUGUUACAUUGUUAUAAUAUUGCUUUAUAUUCUGUAUGCAAGACAUUUAAAAAACAACAUUUAACAGAAAGGGUACAUGAAAGAAAACAACAUGAGAAACUACAUAACUUUUGCAAUAACGUGGUCCUCCUUUAUUACAUAUGCAUCAAAGAAAGAACAUGCAUUUGAACCACCUAAGACACAUGGGAGCAUGUGGAAUGAUAUUUUUUAAACCAGCAACUGUAGAAAUAAUUUAUUAUUUGAUUAUAUUACUAAUGUAAUUACCUGGAUGUAGUUGGGGCUGUUUGGGGGGCGGUUUAGGGGAAAGCUGUAUUUGAUUGCUUGUAUUUGAUUAUAUCUUGUUCUUAUAUUCAAUUAAUAAAAUAUUCAAAACAACAACAACAACAUAGAAGGAUCUUUCAGAGUCCAUUGGUGUUACUCCCAAAUGGGGUAGAAAGGCUGCUUUGUAUGGGAGUAAUCACCCUCCACUCGGAGCAAAAGUGGGUCAGUCCCAUAAAUUUGUAAAUGUCUCUGUAUGUUUAUACAAAUGAUUCCAUUGGCAAAAAAAAAACUGAAUGAAAAUGCUUUGUAGUAAUGAAUGGCUGCUAAAGAGUUCUGAACUUCUUAAAUGUAGGGCACAUAAUAGAAAAAUGCAUGUUUAAAUGAAAUUAUUGUCAGCGUGAUUCCUCUGGAACAAUUAUUUCACCUUUCAAAAUAUCUCUUUAGAAGUCUGCUUGCUGACAUUGCAUAAUUUUGGUUCCAAGUUUGUUUUUUUAAGAAAAAUAAAGUAAAUGACAUGCUACAGAAUGCACUUGUUUUCUGAACACCACUUUCUGAGUUGAAACCCUAGGUAGCUGGAUAAACAAGUCAUGUUUUAAUUAGCUGUGCCUCUUUUCAGCAAGAUUAUGUCAGAAUAUAAAAUCAGCAGAUUAAUUAGGAUUUGAUUAAGGCUGCACUGGUAUAUGCAAUUGUAAAAUUGCCUCUGUAAUAAGUUUUGUUCUAAGGUGCCACAAACGUAUUCUUCUCAUACUGUUAGACUUCUUAAUAGCAUGUAUUUAAAAUGCAUUUAAUUGGAUGGUUAACAGUAUUCACUAUACUUACAAUCUCUUUGUAUGGAGGGAAAAUGGGUACAGAUGUGAAGUUUUUCUUUAAAAGAGCCUCUUUUUUAAUUAUGGGGACUGUAAUGGUUAAAAUUAAAUGGUUACCCACAACGUCAUCUUGAAGUAUGUUUUGAAGUUUUGAAAUAAACUAUGCUGAUUUGUUAGCAUUUAAUACCCUUUUCCUUGCAAGGUUGAAGCUACGCAACAGCUUAAAUUGUUUUUAGGUUCCAAACUAUGUUUCCUCACCAUGAUAAAAGAGGCUAACAGUGGAAGCCUGUACAUGUCUACUCAGAAGUAAGCCCCACUGAAUUCAUGGGGCUUAAUCUCAGGUACAUGAGUAUAGGAUUCCAGUCUAAAAAUGUCAAGCUUAUUAUAUAUCAGAAAUCUUAUAUACAGGUUCAGAGAGGUGCUAUGACUCAAUGAGUGGUCCCUGUUCAAUCUCGAGUCAGCCAUGAAUAAGUUGGAUUUCUAUUAACAAAUUAUUCUCUCUUAGUUGCCCAUUGACAAAAUGGAAAUAGUGCUUUGUCAAUUGGGAUGUGUGUUUAAUACCACCCUGCAACUUAAUCAUUCUUACUUUCUUGUGCUUUUGCAAAUGUUAAUAACCACGGUUCCCUCCCUCUUUGCUGUUUUGACUGGAAUCAAGUAUAAAGAAUGAAAUGAGGGAGAAGGAAAUUAUGCCAAUCAACACUGGACAUGGUCUAGGCAAUCAUAUUUGGCUGUGUCCUGUCUCACUCAAACAAGGGCAAGGCUUCCUAACACAGGUGAUCUUAGCCAAUCAGGGAUUACUCUAAAAAUUAAAAACUUUUGCUGUCGUUUCACAUCAAUUGUAGAAAAAUCUCAAAAAGGAGAGGGUACUUUCAACCCAGAAAAGAUGUGUGUAACAGUUGCCCCUCAGCCCUGGUAAUAGGGCUAAUGUGUGGGCUAUAAUGGGCUUAAGGCUAUAAUGCACAUAAAGGAACUGGUGUGUUGUGGUGGAUGUGCUUUAGUGUUGGGAGUGAGCAGUAGGUGGCCAGGUUUGCUGAUGAUACUAUAUUACUCAGGGUUAAAACAAAAAGAGAUUGUGAAGAGCUCUGAAAGGACUAGGCAGUAAAUGGCAAAUGCAAUUCAAUGUAAACAACUAUAAAAUGACACAUGUCAGGGCAAAUAAAUUCUUAUUUUCGCAUAUACACUCAUGGUGUCUGAAUUGGCGGUAACUAACCAGGAACAAAAUCUUGUGGUUAUAGUGGCUAGUUUGCUGAAGAUACUGCUCCAGUGUGUGGCAGCUGUGGAAAAGGCAGAUUCUAUGCUAGGCAUCAUUAGGAAAGGAAUUGAACUCCCUAAGCUGUCCCAGACACUGUACGCUGCAUUCCAAAUGUGGUCACAGUAGGAAUAUAGUGUACAGUUCUGAUCACCUCACCUCAAAAAGGAUAUUGUAGUUUCUGAAAAUGGCAACCAAAAUGAUCAAGGGGAUGGAUCAUCUCCCAUAUGAAGAAAGGCUACAGUGUUUGGGACUUAGAGGAAACAUAAGAAAGAAGUGACAUGAUAGAAGUUUAUAAAAUGAUGCAUGCCAUAGAGAAAGUGGACGGGGAAAGGGUUUUCUUCUCUUAUAACACUAGAAUGCGUGGACAUCCAAUGAAGCUGAAUGUUGAAAGCUUAAGAACAAAUAAAAUGUAAGCACUUCUUUACCCAGCACGUAGUUAAUGUCUGGAACUCACUUCCACAGGAGGCUGUGCUAGCCACCAACUUGGAUGGCUUUAAAACGGGAUUCGACAGAUUUAUGGAAGAUGAGACUAUUAUUGGCUACUAGCCAUGAUAUGCUCUUUCUCUGUGGUUGGAGGCAGUAUGCUUCUGAAUACAGUGGUGCCUCGCAAGACGAAAUUAAUCCGUUCCGCGAGUCUCUUCGUCUUGCGGUUUUUUUGUCUUGCGAAGCACGGCUAUUAGCGGCUUAGCGGCUAUUAACGGCUUAGCGGCUUUAAGAAAAAGGAAACAAACUCGCAAGAACUCGCAAGACGUUUCGUCUUGCGAAGCAAGCCCAUAGGGAAAUUCGUCUUGCGGAACGACUCAAAAAACGCAAAACCCUUUCGUCUAGUGAGUUUUUCAUCUUGCGAGGCAUUCGUCUUGCGGGGCACCACUGUACUAAUUGAUGGAAAGAGGAGGGGAAUAUGCUGUUGUGUUUGGGUCCUGGCUAUUUUGAGAACAGGAUGCUGAACUAGAUGGGCCAUUGGCCUGACCUAGCAGGCUCUUCUUAUAUUUUUGCACCUCCUGAUAUCUUGAGUUCCUUCCUCUGAGGCAGAGGAUCUGUCUUGCACGCAGAAGAUCCCAGGUCCAGCCGGUUGUGGGGCUUGAAAAAGCUCAAAAUCCUGGAGAACCUGGGAUAAAGUAGCAUCUUACGUUCUGUGCUCUGACAAACGUCUCCUCGACCUCUGACCUUUUCACGCAGUUUGCCUUCCUCAAUGUGGUUGGCUGGUUUUCUCUAAUGUCAGCAUGGAUUGACAUGGCUUCUGGCAUCCACUGGAUUAGAUACUUUGAUGGAACAGAGGCUUUUGCCAGCCUGGAGCAGGAGCUGAGUGCUUAGGAGAACGACUGAAAGAUUUGAAAAUCUAAAUUCCAUUCUGUGAGCAAAAUUAGAGAUAAAGUUACCUAAGGGUUAGCUAAUCUAUGAUAAGUGAUUCACGAAUACCUUCUUAUGAUCUUUUGAAAUACAACACUUUUAUCCAUCUGAGCAACUCUGAUUGCUCCCAAAUGGGCAUUCAUAUAGGCAAACAUAAUGGGCAAACUAGACAAUCAUACACAUAGCUUGCAGCCAUUUUCAUGAUUAUGAUGGCUUGAAAAGUUACUAAUAUGAUCCUGGAAAUUACAACCAAAGCAACCAUAUCUCUGGUCAAUUCACGUAUAACAUUUGUCUUUAUAAGCACGUCUUUGAAUAAGUUAGUGUGACUGCCUCUUUGAAGAAGAAGAAAAAUGUAUACUGUGAAUUGCUCACCCAUUUUUGUUCAAUAGUUUAUUUCUCUGGCUGGUUAGGGAUAUCUUUGAGAGAAUGCACUUUCCUCUGCCUGUGCACCUGGGGGUCUAUCUGUCAGUUCCAGAUCUAUUUUGCCCUUAAAGCUUGGGAAAUGCAAUGUACUUAUCCAGUGACAUUGAUAUACUCUGCUUGAGGGUGUUAAAUGGUACAAAAGGAUAUUGAUGGUAGGGAGAGGCUCUUGAAGUUUAAGCAGAAUUGGCUGUCCGCUUUCACCUCCUAACUUGUAUGAGAUGCUCAGUAGAACGUAAAUGAAAUUGUCUGAAUGGGAACGGUGCCCUUUUAAAUUCUAAUUAGUGAAUGAAUUAAGUAGUAAGAAUUUUUAUGAGUCACAGUGAAUUACAGGUAUUAUUGACUUGACAGUCUUGCCUACACUAAAAGCAGUGGUUACCCAAGUGGGUCUUCAGCUGCCAGAUCAAGCUGAAUGACAUUAAAUAGUCUGAUCAGGACUUCAUUUUACUUUUAAAAAGUGUUUCUCUACCCUCUCAAUCCUCCUCGUUCCUUUAAUGAGGGAAGCUGAAAUAGGGCAUAGUUAAGGAAAGAAGCGGAUUCUAGUCUUCUGGGUGGGCUGCAGAACAGGGAAAACUGCUGUUGGCAGGCUUUCAAGUUCUGGUGCCUCAUGGCUAGAUUCUGAAGUUCUGAAUUAUACAUAUAUCUUGUGCGUGCCUCAUGUAGCAUGAGGUUUAUUACUAGAAUGCAAGCAUCAUGCACUCAAAAGGAGAAGGACAUCUAUUGUACACUAGCACUCUUUCUCGCAGUACAAACCUUGACCUAAUUCCUGUAAACAUGUUUCUUUUUUACCCUGUUGCUGCAGCAUAGGAUGCCAGUAUUGCUGUGUGCACCCAGCUCAAAAGGCACUUAAAAAUUUAAGUGUGUCUUUUCUUUCCUGUUAUUUGUGCUGAAUUGUAAACUAGCCUUAACUCAGAUCUUGAAUUCAAGAACCAGCCUUUCUUCCUCGACAGGACACAGAACUGUGCUUGUCAAUUUUAUCUGCUCCCACUAUAUUACCCUGCCGUGAGACAACAAGAAUGUUGGGCUUGAGAAUGUUGCUGGUCUGGGAUCAACACUUACCUGAAAUGAUUGACCAAGGACAGGAAAGUGGGGGCUGGGGGGAAGUCAUUAAGAAUUUAUUUCCUUGGCUCUGAUUGAACAGAGUGUCACCUCUCCAGAGGAGAUCUCACCUCUUGGACACUGUUACUUGAGUCCUGCAGUUUACAGAAUGGCUCAGCAAGGGAAUAUGCUGUAAUUGGAGCCCUAUGUGGGCAUUUUCCUCCAUGCAAUUUUAAUCAUGUGGAGGGAAACAGUGGGACUGUGCUAGAUAGUUCCAACAUCACCAUACAUGUAUUGAUGGGAAGGGGUACAGAACAGGGAGUGGGGGUGUUUGCUCUAUUCCUGUAGGCUGUCUGUGAUGUUAGAACCCUGUGCUGGUUUGGGACCAGAUGCCACCGCCCACUCCCCCUAUGCCCCAUCUCUCUAUGUUUUUAAGAUUUCAUGGACAAUUAUCCCCAAAUAGGGGUUACAGUAAUUCUGGAUCCUCCCCCUUUUCACAGAAUCCUGAUGCACAGUGAAGUAAAGUGUCCAUUGCUAUUACUUCUCAGGCUUUGCACAAUAAUUUCUCAGGCUGUUCUGUGCUAGUGUGGCUUUUUUCUUUCCAGAGGAGGAAGCUACUGAUUUGUUUUCUCUUGGGCACCACCAGCAGUGCAGAUGGUCUGAGGGCAGUAUUUGGAAUAAAGAGCUAAGCAGCGGUUGGGUGACACAAGAUGUCAAUUAGUGUUCUACCUAGCUCUAGUCUAGUGCAAGAUGAGCUGCUUUCUACUGACCUUAUUUGUUGUCUUUGGGUUGCCAACCUGCCAGCACCAACACCCUGAUGUGAACCCCACUUUGGACAUUAAUGCACAGGUGCAAAAGGCAGGUGACCUUCUUGAACCAAUUCACUACUCAAGCCAUCAUAACAUGCACUCUGAACACAAGAAUGGGGGAUCAGGUGAUUCAGAGUUUUGAAGAAGAAAAAAUGACAAAAACAACCUCAAAAAACCUAUUUAUUUAUUUUUAAAAAAUCUAUCCUGCUCUCAUCAUAAAUGAUCUUGAGACGGGUAACAACAAUUUAAAAUACAGGUAUACAAGAGCAUAAUUAGAAAUUAAAACUGCUAUUAUCUAUCACAUCUGUCCAAUAGCAGUGAUCUAAAAAGCAGAGACAUCACCUUGCUGACAAAGUUCCGUAUAGUUAAAGCUAUGGUUUUCCUAGUAGUGAUGUAGGAAGUGAGAGCUGGACCAUAAAGAAGGCUGAUCACCGAAGAAUUGAUGCUUUUGAAUUAUGGUACUGGAGGAGACUCCUGAGAGUCCCAUGGACUGCUAGAAGAUCAAACCUAUCCAUUCUUAAAGAAAUCAGCCCAGGACAGAAGCUGAGGCUCCAAUACUUUGGCCACAUCAUGAGAAGAGAAGACUCCCUGGAAAAGACCCUGAUGUUGGGAAAGAUUGAGGGCACAAGGAGAAGGGGACGACAGAGGACGAGAUGGUUUGGACAGUGUUCUCGAAGCUACCAGCAUGAGUUUGAAUAAAUUGCGGGAGGCAGUGGAAGACAGGAAUGCCUGGCGUGCUCUGGUUCAUGGGGUCACAAAGAGUCGGACACGACUAAACAACAACAUUAUUUCACUGCUUGAGUCACAAAAUAUCAGGUCACUGGGGCAUAGUGGUCUUUUGUCUCAAAAUAUUGCUGAAUGAACACUGUACAGCUGAGAAGCACAUUGACUCCAAAGAGAAGUUAAAAACGAAUGAUGAUAGAAACAAAAAUCUUCCCCAAAAGGUGCAGUGAGCUUGUAGAAUUCACCACUUACUGCACCACUGAAAAUAUCUAAUAAGCGUUUUAGGAAUUCUACAUUACAGAUUGAAUAGCAAUAAAUGUGCUCUUGGAUAUGAUUUCUUCUUUUUUCCUUCGGAAACUUAACAUAGUUAGCUGUGUUCUGGGCAAAUGUGGUCUCCCUCCCUGUAACAAAAGUGGAACCUUGAGCUGAAAAUGUAAAUUCAUCUGUCAUGGAUGCUAUAGUUGCUAUUCCUUCGUUGCAAGAAGUUGGACUAGUUCGCCCCCAACGUCUCUUUCAACUCUACAAUUCUGUAAUUCUGUAAACUGCAAAUGUGCAUUGAUCGUGCGAAAAGAACCAAAAACAACUUGAUUGAGUGGGAAGAAUUAUCUCUUAAUCUGAGGUGGGUUACUGGCACCACAAAAAUGAAUUUUGCAAGUUAUUCUUCAAGGUGACUGAUUGUCCCUACUUUCUCUCCAUCCCCCCCCCCAUUUUAUGUUCUCUUUCCAUCCCCUGCCUGACACUCUAUGGUCCUGAAUGGUUUCCUUUGCAGUCAGAGGAGCCAGUAGCUUCUUAGUGUAAACAUGAGCGUGCAUUCAAAUCUGUACUCUUUUUCUGAUUCUGAGCUAAGAGCCAGUAUCCCUUUAACGUUAGAAGGUGCUAUGCACAGCCAGCCCCCACCACCUUGGGACUUAAUGUAGAAAAUGUGGCAAGUGGCUGGCUUGUCAGAAGCACAUUUCAUGAUACUAAGUUCCUUCCAGCUUCAGGUAGCUAAAAGGUAGCUGACAGGGUGAACAAUCUUAUACUUACUUUACACCAGGGGUGGGGAACCUCUGACCUGCAGGCCAAGUGGCUGUUUUUCUCAAGCUGCACCUAACUGCUCCCUACCUGAUAUCAUGCAAAGUCACGUGUGGGGCAGGUAAGAAUAAAGAAAUAAAUGGGCUCCUUAAAGCACUCUCCCAAUUCUUCUUUGGCAAUGAUGCUUGCUCUCAGCUGAUUGGUGGGAUUGGCUGAGCUACAGAGUUCCUGAAUGGGAACGCCAUAGCUCUGCUGAUCCCUGUCCGAAGAACGACUUAUAAGUGCAAUAUUCCUUUGCUUUGAAUUCAAGCCAGCAGUGCAAAGAAUCUUUCUCUGCAAGCAUAGCUUGAACUGCAGCUGCAAAAGAGGGGGGGGGACCCCAACCACCUUUGAGUCACCAAAUGUCAUUUUGACACCACCUGUGAAACUGAACUGUGGAGGUUGGGGGAGGUCCGGAUCUGAACCACUAGCUGUUUCCUGCCUUACACAUAUCUGGAGAUACGCUGCUAGAAUGCCUUCAGAAAGGCCACUAAGUCCUAUGCCUACUCAGCCUGGGAGAUGAGGGGAAAAUACCCCAAAGAAAAUGCAACAUAGUAGAGUAGACACAGGCUCCUGAGAAGCUCUACCAUAGCCCCCCACUGUCUUUGUCAGGUUUCAGGUGUUUGGUUUAAAUGUUUUCAUUUCAGGAAGCCUUUGCACCAUGGAAGCUGUUCUGUUGUUUUAAUCCUGAUGUUUUGAAUUUUGCACAUUGCACGUUUCAGUUUUUUGUAAGCCGCUUUAAAACCUAAAUGUAAAAAAGCAGGGUAAUUUCUUUAAGUAAAUACCACACCCAAGCAACAAAGAAGCAAACUGUGGCAAAGUGAAAGCUUUUAUUGAAUAACUUCUGGGAUGCAGGAGAUCCUAAAAGGAAAAGACGCAUGUGGGGUUGCCAUCUAGCCUUUCCAGCAGUGCUCCUGUGCCUAGGACAGUGGUGCCAGCUGCAUGCUAGGAACACCUUAAACUGUUGUACAGUGGUCUGUUAUGGAGUUUGCAAGGGAGCAGGAGCCUGCCUGGAACAAGUUAGUUAAGAACCCCAUAGAAGAAUUGCCAGGAGCGUCCUGGUCAUUGCCACCAGCCAUGGGGUGGGGCUCCCCAUGAUCUGUAUGAAAGUGGGCAUGGAAGAGCCGCUGGUAGAGAGUAUUGUAUUCCAAAAAUACAGUAUUGAUUGUCCUUGAAUCUUCCUGUGACACUUGCCAUCCUCUCCUGCCACACCACUGUGGCACGUCACACCCUUUGACAACCUAUACUUUCCUACUACAGUCAAACCUUGGUUGUCGAACGUAAUCCGUUCCCGGAAGCCUGUGUGGCUUGCAGGAGCUUCCUGCACUCAAGCGGAAGCCACAUCAGAUGUUUGGUUUCCAAAAAGCGUUUGAAAACCGGAGCAUUUACUUCCGGGUUUUCGGCAUCUGGGAGCCGAAACAUUCCAAAACGGAGGUGUCUGAUUUGUACUUUCAUUGGUGUAUACCAGUUGUGGUGUGCUGCUAUUUGUUAUUCAGUUACACCAUAUGUUAUGCUAAAAUCCCUGAAGCAAGAUGAUGGGAUUGGAAACUAGUUCCACCUAGGUAUGGUGUAAAGUGCCGUUGGUGGGGGCAUGGCCAAGUUUUGAGUGACUGCAGGCUUUGGCAUGAGUCUGUUCUUCCUUUGUACUGCCUAUGACUCCACUAUGUUUUUGUCUGCUUCGCAAUGACCUAUCUGGGAAGUCCUACUGGAAGUGAAUAUAAACUUAUGCCACUGUAGGCAGCCUUCUGUUGCUUUCUAAAAGCAGGGAUGGCAAACAUGUGGCCUUCCAGAUGUUGCUAUCCUGCAGCUGUAAUCAUCCCCACCUAACCAUUGGCCAUGCUGGCUGGGCUGGGACUGAUGAGAAUUGGAGUUCAGUAACAUCUGGAGGGCACCAGGUUCCCCAUUUCUGUCCUAAAGCAUCUCAACCAGCAGAUCUUGAGUGUAGGAUUGCAGCCUAAAGUACUUGAACAAACCAUUCUAAGAUUGGCAUGUAAAUUUCAAUCCAACUGUCUCAUGUUGGGAAAAUAGGUCUAUAGAAUAUUGUAAGAUGCUAUUAGGCCUAAGAUGCAAAUAGGUAGUAGUUGCCAUAUAAAUGCUGUGAAUGCCUUGGAAUACUAUCUCAAGUUCAGUUGGUACUGAUUUGGACAAAUCAGGCCUCCUCUGAAUUGUUUCAGGUAAAUUUAUUCUGUACACAUGUUGGAAAUGUUAUUACAUUUUUGUUUUGUGUUGACUUCAGUGAAACACAAGCUAUUGUUUGGUUGUAGACAAGGCCAUUCUAACAAACUUUUGAUAUUGACUUCAUGACACAUUGCUUACAGAUAAAGUGGAUUUUUUUUGAAGUGGAAGGCGUUGUCUUGACAACCAAACUCCAGCUAAGAAUAGGAACUGAAAUUAAAAGCCCAAAUUUGCUAUAAUUUCAUCUAAGUUGGUUCAGUCUUGUUCUGGAAUUUGAGUGCAGAUUUCAAAAGUCGGAUCAUGUUGUGUGCUUGUUCAUUUGAUUCCAUACACUACUUAUUUUAAACCUAAAUUUUCACAGUAUCAAAUCAAUUCUUGGAAUUUUGUGUUUAUGCUAUAAUUGAUUCUAUGAUGUAUUAUAGAAUGAGAAACCCCCAAUUCCAUCAGGAUGCUUUUGGGAUUAAGAACUGGAAUUGAAUUCACUUACAUUAAAAUUUAAGGGUGGAAUUCACUUUUGUGCUAUGAGAAACAUUCUGUCUGCACAAGCCUUUUACCUUACCAAAUGGAAUGAUCCCUUCUUUCUCCACCCACCCACCCCAUUUUGGGGGUUCUUUGCCCCCCAAGCCAAUUUUGAGAGGAGGUGAUCAAGAUGGCCGCCUCAUCCUCUCAGGUAGGAUGAGGCAGCAGCUCUCACUGUAUUACUGUUUUAUUGCCCUAUUUUGUUGUUCUAUUUUAUUGUUUUACUUCCUUGUUAUCUCGCUGGUCUAAUGUAUUCGCACUAACUGCAACUUACCAGAUGAGAAAACCCAGCUGAAAACCUCAAGAAAACUGCUGUGAUAGGAGAAGUGCUGGGCUGAGAGAAACACAGGGUGAGUCAGUGUUUUACUGAUCAGUUGAGGAGGAAAAGAAACGAAAUAAUUAACCCCUCUCCACUUUGUUGGAUAUAACUCUUUGUGGGACUCUGUGCAAGCUUAGCUUAAUGCUUUGCUCCGUUACCUUCCCGAGUGGUUGACCAAUAUGGUGUAUGCAAGGAAGGCAUUUAAAGCCCUGGGAAUUAUGCCAAACUUUGCAAGUGGUUCUCCUGAACCUCGGAAGCAGACAAAGUAAAAUCACAGUUUUUCCUUCAGAGCAAAAAAGAGUCAAGCAAGCUGAUACAAGAUGAAGUAUCCCCUAUACUUCCUGCUUUGGAGUGGUCAAUAAAUCUUAAAGGGGACAUGCAAGAACCUAGGAAUAUAAGAAAGUUCCUUCAAUAAAUUUGGCCCUAGAAUUGGCCUUGGCAAAGGACAUAAACAAGGCCAAUUUGAGAAAUAAAUUGGGGCAAACCGACAAGCUCAUAGAGAGGUCGUCUUUUGAGCUCAGUAAAAGCCCACCCAGACAACAAGCCAUUUCUAAAUGCACACAAACAGCGAGACACUCAACUCCAGGAUCAGCUUCAUAUGGUUUGCUCAGAAUUAUUUCUCAUCAAAAACUUCGUUACAGAAAGUAAUGGGCUGCUUACAACAUUAGUGGAAAGUUUUACAAUUCAAGAGAGAGUCGAAAGAUAUUGAAAGGACAUCUAGACAAACCCAGCCGGUAAUCAAUUACAGAAGCUUUACAAGUUGAUACCAACGGAUUCCACUCUGGACACAAAUAAGCCUACAUUGAAAGCCCAUAGGAAAAAGGGAAAAGGAAGAGGACAGCAGCAAAUGUUGCUAAACCACAACAAAUGGUAGAGAAGGAAAAUAAAACAUAUGCCUCAGUUUAAGUUGCUGCUCUGACUCCAGGAGGGAAAGCACAAGGGAAACAGAGAGGAUACUAUCCACAAAAUUGAACUUGAUCCAAUAACCAAUUACCCAGAGGCCCAAUGUGACUUUCAUCAGGAAAAAAGGUGGAAUUUGGUGAUGAUUCCGCAAAAACCAGUUAUCGCAAAUUAUCCUAAACCGACUCCCAUCACAGAGAUGUCCUAGUGAUGUUGAUUUACAAAGAGUCAGUAAUAAAAUAUUUGUUAAGGGAUGAUACUCCUGAAACUACCAAGAUUGUUUCAGGGUACUUAGCCGAGAUCUUUAAAGCUAAAUCUAAAGUUGCCUGAUUUAUUCAAUGGUGGCUAUCUAGUCUUUUAUAUAUUGUUUAUGUUUGGAGUAUCAAUGUAUUUGGAUGACUGUAUGAUUUUAUGAUUUUACUGUUUUAACUUAUGCCAAUAAAGACUACUACUACUAGUAGUAGUAACGUAUUGGCCUGAAUAUAAGCCUCACUUUUUCCCCCCAAAUUCCGACCGUGAAAAGUUAGUGUGGCUUAAAUUUGCCACCUUACAAAAACUGGCUUUUACGGUAUCGCUGCUGAAACAGACAUAUUGUAAAAGGGAACAGGUGUGAGUGCCUGCAAAAUUUUAAGAGAGCGGCUUAUAUUUGGAUAUUGUCUCCCUUUCCCCUUGAAUUUUAAAGAUGUGGUUUAUAUUUGGUUGCAGGUUAUAUUCAGGCCAAUACGAUAAUAGAGAGGAGAAGGGUGGGGAAGCCUUGUUUUGCAAGCAGAAGUCAUUGUGCAGAGCUUCCACUUCCAAGGUUCAAUUGGUUAAUCCCGUCCUAAAUAUCUAUUGUAGUAAAUACUCGUUCUUUUCUGAUGGAGAUCUACCGGUAAUUAACUGAUGAAACUUCCUGAGGAUACCACUUUUCAAUACACCCCAUGUUAGCCCUGCCACUGAUAAAACCUUGCAUAUAGAAAACCAGGACAUUUAGGGGCAAAUUAUAAGUAAGACCUAAUCCUCUUACGCUAGUUUUCUAUUUCAGGGAAUUUUUAUCACAGGAGAGUUACAAAAGUGGUAUCUUCCACCCCACCUGUAGUUUAACAUUGUGCAACUGAUUUUACCACUUGAAGACUCUCCCAUCUUUAUUUGGCGGUGAGUGAAAACAGGCAUGAAGGAGACCAUUGUCAUCUUGUAUUAAUUAAAAAUAGUAACCAUUUUUUUAAGUGAUAUUAGAUAAACUGUAUGUAGUCUAGUCACAAUAUAUAAGCACACAUGUUGUUGAUCAAAAUUUAGCUAAUAACGCAGGGAGCUAGAGAGCAUGAUAACAGCUGAAGAAAGCAAUAGCUAAGCCUACCAAGUUCCUGGCAAUUUCUUUUAAAUUUUGAUAAGACCUUAGAAAUGGUUCUACCAUACAUAUACGUCACAUCCUGAAAGAGUGACCUCCUUUCCAGGAGGUACUCAAUGAGAUUGCUUUUUCCUUGCUUCCUGAUGAUAAAUCGGUUACAGUUAUUGUUGGAUAGAACCACCCAGCAAAUUUCAGCUCACACUAGAUGUCACUGUUCAGUUACACCACUAUGUAGUGAAGUUUUGGAUAUUUCUCUUUCUCUUAAUUUGAAAAGGAGAACCCAGAAAGAACAAUGUUAUUACUGUAUGUGUUCAAAGUCAACAUAAUACUAUUAAAAAACCCUGAACAGUUCUGUGUCUUUAUUAUUAUUAUUAUUAUUAUUAUUAUUUAGUCCUGACAGUGCUUGUACUAUACUUCAAAAAUAAUCAUGGGUAAGUUCUGUUGCUAAGUUACAUAUAGUGGUGCUUCUGACUGAAUGUGGUAAAACAACAUAUAAAAUAAUUGUCAAAACAAAAGAUACCUGAAAAGGUAAACCAUUAGAGCCUGUUAGACAUUUUGGAAUGAAUCCUUUGUGGUUGUUGUUGUUGUUUUGUUUUGCCAUUGUAGCAAGAUGAUCAGUUUACUAAGCAACACUUAAAAGAAUUGACUAAAAGUCACUGUCUGAGGAACACUGUUGCUUACAGUAUAUGAUGGCGUUUGAUGCCUGGGUGCUUGUAGAGAGGGAAGCUUAUAGUUGCAACCAGUGCUUGAAGUGGAAGUUGGGGGAGCAGGAAAUAGGAUGGUUUCAUUUCAAAUGAGGCCAGGUUCAAUUAUCUCUAUUGAAAACAACUUGGAUGAUUUUAGAUCCUCUUGAAAAUAGAUGGGAUAACAUCCCAUCCCACUUCAAAUACUGGUUGUAAUUCAGGCGUUUUGUUCAGAAUAAUUUUGUUAAGGCCUGUGAAAGAGACUUCUUUUUAAAAACACCCAGCGAUUUAUUUAUUUAAUACCCAGUAAGAAGGUAUUGCUAAAUGCUCCUAAGAAAUUGUGCAGGGGAUCUGUCCUGUGUUUUGCUUUGCCCAGAAGCAUUUUGUCUAGCCUGCAUUAAUAUGUAAAAUAAUUCUGUUAUGAGCCAGCCCUCACCAUUAAUGAAAAAUGAGUGACCCACUUAUAAACCAGCCAUGUCAUUUUCCUUUGCAUUCUGCCUCUGGAGAAGCUUUAAAUAAGAUUUCUGGAUAUGUGCAAAUCUGAUAAAGUUGGCAUAUGCUCAAGCAAACAACAAGAGAAGAAAAAAAUUCUCUUUCAAUAUGGGCUGAGAAUGGUCCUUAAAAUACAACACACUUAUUUACACUUAAAUUCUUUCCUUGUUGCACUAUAGCAGUGGAAACUAAUAUCUUGCCAUUUUGUUUGUUUGUUCAAGGUGCAGUUUGAUUUGUCUCCUUCCAGGAUAAGUGUUUCAUCUUCUCCAAUUAGCACUACUAGUGUUUGCUUUGAAACUUAAAUAGUAUGCAUAUGUGAUCUGCAGAGAAAAUGAACAAUCUUUCUUGUUUCCUGUGUAACAACAAAGACCCCCCUUUCCAAAAACUCAUGUGAAAGGGGCUUUAAAAGCUUUAAAAGUUAUUUUGGAAAACAUUAUGAUUAAUCCUGUGUGCCGUUAUUACGUUGGUAUUGCACAAGUGUGCGAGGGUUGAACACAUUUUUUAAAAGCAUACAGUGGAUGAUGCAGAAUUGCAAAUAACAUGUCUGCUGUUCUGUUUCCAGAAGAGCCAAACUGAGUUUUUCUGAGCACCUUGACUCAAAAAGUAUCUGUUUUGCCUGAGAAGGUAAGCUAGCACAGGGCUGGUCGAAGGGCAAACAGACCCUGGUGGCAUAGGAAAACUGUGGUUCUCCAGAUGUUGUUGGUUCCAUCUCCUACCUGCCCAUUGUCAGGGAUAAUGAGAGCUGUAGUCCUGUAACAUUUGGAGGGCUGUACAUGUUCCCUGUCCCUGCUAUCUAGGUAUGGACAAAAGAAAUGCCCCCACCUUCAGUUCAGCAGGCGUGAGACAUAUGGAAAGUAGUAACACCCUAUCUCCACCUGCUUCCAAUCUAAUUAAAGUCUCCACAGCCUCCAAAGGCAAAGCAUUGUACAGGAAAAUCCCAUACUCACCUACAAAUUCCUCAUUUCUUUUUCUUGCACCUCCCUGAACCAUGCAUCUUUGUCUGUAAAGUCUUCAGUGACAAAGUCUGUAACUGCCUGGAACCCUUCUCUGUCUUGGUCUUUUUCUUUCUCAGCAUUCCUGAGCUGCAUUCGAUUUCCUCUGCAGUCUCUAAUUCUUCUGAGUCUCCCACUUCUCUUUCCUGAGCUCAUAAGUUGCUGGCAGGUGAAUCUUGCAUCCUGGAAAGAAACCUUAUAAUUAACGCUUUCCACUGCUCCCUGAGUACCUUUAUGAGGGCUCUCCUCUAUCUAGACUAUGGUUGGCAGUCUUCUGAUACUCACUGCUGGUGUUAAAUGCAACUGCUGGAGCCUACUGCUAGUCUCUGCUGGUACAAGCAGCAUCAGACUGGAGAGGUGAGGAGAUGGACCAUUGGAUAGUAGUAGUUAGUAGUAGCAGCAAUAAUAAUAAUAAUAAUAAUAAUAAUAAUAUUCCACCCAUCUGACAGGGUCCACCAAUAUCAGCACUGCAUCAUCUGUGACAGGGAGAAAGGUACGAGGGAGGAUUGUCCAGCUCCAAAUCUUACGAUACCAGGAAAUCCUGUCAUUGUGAGAUUCCAUGUUUCAAGUAUUGGGAUCUCAAUACUUGGACCAGAGAUUGGCCUUUGUGUCUGGAGUCCUAAGGGGAGGUACCAGCACCUGCAGAUUUAAAGGAGAAGUAGAGCUGUGUGUCAUCAGCAUAUUGCUGACAACAUACUCCAAAUAUCCAGAUAAACCCAGUCAGUGGUUUCAUUUAGAUCAGUGAUAGCCAAACUUGGCCCUCCAGCUGUUUUGGGACUACAACUCCCAUCAUCCCUAGCUAACAGGACCAGUGGUCAGGGAUGAUGGGAAUUGAAAUCCCAAAAUAGCUGGAGGGACAAGUUUGGCCAUCACUGAUUUAGAUGUUAAACAGUAUACGAGAUAAAAUUGAACGCUGAGGAACCCCACAUUAAAGGCCCCACGGGGCCGAAGAACACUCCCCAAGCAUCAUCCUCUGAAAAUAUCCAUCCAAGUAGGACCAGAACCACUGCAAAGCGAUGCCAUCCACCCCUAACUCGGACAGCUGCUCUAGAAGGAUACUAUUGUCGAGGAGGCUUCUGAGAGGUCAUGAAAAUCAACAGGGGCACAUUUCCCCUCUUCUCUCCUGACAGAGGUCAUACAGGGCAAACAAAGCAGUUUCUGUGCCAAAACCGGGCCUAAACCCCAAUUGAAAUGAAUCUAGUAUAUGUGCAGCCCCAAUCACUGUACCGCAAUAGCCACAUUAGAAAUUACUACAUUUUAUGUGACCCAAGUAGUUGAAGCAUCAGGAGGGAGGUGAGGUGAGGAAGAAGGGUGGAAAAGAUUCCAUGCCUUUGUGCUGUGGUACAGAGCUUCACCCACAUUUGAUCUCACCACAAUAGCGGUGGUGUGUAGCCACACACAUAGCCUGAUAGCUGAUUUUUGCACCCAUAUCCCCUGGGCCUGCAUCCCUGGCGGGGGCCAGUAUCACCAACUCCUAGGUACGCCUCUGCUCAUGGUGACCACACAUCUAGUGUGCUGUCAAUGAAGUGGAGCUUCUACUGUGCUUCUUAUGCAAUGCGAGUAAAAGAUUGUUCCAUAACACUAUAAUUUUAUGAUUGGUAAUUCUGAAUAAUCUGUCACUUGAAAUGGUAAAAUCACAGAGGUACUUUCUUUGGCAUAUGUUGAUAUCUGAGACUCUUUCUAAAGCUUGUCGUAUUAUAUUUAGAAUUUGGUUGCUAAACUCUAAACCUGUUAGAAAUCAUGCAUUUCAUAUACAAAAUACUUAAAACUUGAAUAGUUUCCAAAUAAUGUGAAUAGAACCCCUCCUUAAGCAUGCUUCAGUGAAGUUACUACUGUGUUCCUUUCUAGUUAUUAUGGAAAGGAUAAAGGAAAUCUGAAAGCUCUACAUCUUUUUUAAAAAGCAGACAAUAAAACACAAUUUAAUGUUACAAAGGGCACUUUUAGAUGUAGCUGCAAUGUGAUUUUAAAAGAAUUAUGCCAGUGGGUAAGUGAAUCACUAAUCAGACACUGUAGGGAAUUGUUCAUAACUGCAAUCACCUGGACAUCUUUGACUUAUGUUACUAAAUAUAAUGACGAUAAUAGUUCUGAAGGCAUUAUAUAUUUCAGAAUUAUACACACCCUUUAGCAGCAUGAAGGCUACAGCAUUAUUUCCCCCCCUGUUUAUGUCUUAUCCUUCCAGAUGGUCUAGACAUAGAAACUGCAGAGAUGACCGUAUUCUACUUUAAAAAUUGUACAUUAACAAAAAGAGAAAUGGAGAGGCAGAAACUAUUUAUAAUAUAUAGAAAUUCUAGAGUGUUCUGUACACAAUGUGAAUAAUGCAUGCACGGUAUCUGGAACCAUCACCAAUAUCCUAGCUGUUGCCAUUAGAAACAUAGGAGCAUAGAAAGCUGCCAUUGGUCCAUUUAGCUUAGUGUUGCCUACAGUGAUUGGCAGCAUUCUUCAGGAUUUCAGGCGAGGUUAUUUUCCCAGACCUACUUGGAGAUGUUGGGAAUUGAACUGGAAUUGUUUGCUUGCAAAGCAGAUAUUCUACCACUGAACUGUGGCCCAUUUCUACUGACAUUAACACAUACACUGGAUAGCGGUCAUUACUCAACUGUGUCCCAGCAAGAAUAUUGAAUCUCAUCUCAUUACAAUGAAGGCUAAUUAAUGCAUAUAUUUAACUACUGAUACUUGAAUAGGAACUCUUCCCCUCGCUCCAAUUUUCAGAGGCAUAGCCAGUUUAGUCUAUUGCAGCUGGGAAUCAUUACUGGCCCACAAGCUCCCACUUGUCCGUCGCCUAACUACCUUGUUUCAUGCACCUUGGCACUGUUCUUUUCUAUCUACAGUUGCCUGUUAUGCCAAAGCAGAGAACUGUGAUUUAAUUACAGUUUUCAGCUGGAUCAUGAUUUAGUAAACCACGGUUCUCUGUUUUGCAUUUGACAGGGAACUGUAGCUGAAACAGACCAAAUAUUGAAGCGCCAAAGUCCACACACAAAAUGUGGAGGCAGGAGAAGAGCUUGUUCCUGGCUUAAACUAUGGUACAUUGGGGCAGGAAUUUUAUGUUAUGUAGUGGGCCAAUAUCCUUUGUAAUACAGGCAGGGGAUUUCAGGAAGUGUUGGCCUCAACACUCAGUGUCAUGUAUCUAAGUUAGGGGUCGGCAAAGUUUUUGUGGCUUGGGCCGGUUCACGGUCCCGCAGACACCGUGGUGGGCCAGAGUGUGCGCGCAUGCACGCACGCAUGUACAAACACUAUUUCCAUCACUCCUUCUGGCGCGGAGGAGGCGUGUGCAGCUUCCCAUUGGCUGCAGGAGCUUCCUGCAGCCAAUGGGAAGCCAGCCAGUGUCGCAGAAGGCAGUCCCCGUUCUACUCCGCUCCAGUUUAGUGUGGCACAUGGGAGCCGACCGAGCGGGUGGUGGAGGUUCCUGAGCAGGCGGCGGGGUUCAUGGGCCGGUUAACUUAGGUUGCCGACCCCUGAUCCAAGUACUGGGAGUUGGCAGUCAUCUUUAACUCUAUUCAAUUGCACAGCAACUGCAACAGCCAAACUGUUGUUAUGUGUAUGUCCACUUUUCCGGAGAUUCCACAAGAUAUGUUGGAAUCCUUUCAGUGUAAAGGUCUUCAAAACUACUCCUGCACAUGAUCUGCGUUUAUAUAAGCACUCUUAGUUUAAUAUAACUAUUUUGCUAAGGAAAAUUCUUCUUUUUUUCACUUGGCUGCAGAAGCCUGUAUCCUGAAAGACUACGUUAGGACAGAAAAAAAGCCCCUGGGAGAUAGGAAGUGGGAUUCUUGGUAACAUAGAUGUAUCUAGAUCACUUUGUGUUGUGCUCUCUUGGGAGAUCACUGUUUGAAGUAUUCCUGUGGUAGCAAACUAGGAAGGUUGUUUUGGCUCUGAGCUCUGCACAGACCUAUUGGCCCUGGGUUCCAAACUUAACCCUGUCCUGAGAGUGUGGUCUGGAUAUUUCAAACAUGAUUUAAAAUCUAAAUUAAGCAUAUACAAGUGUGAGUUUUGCAUUGCGGCAUCAGACUUGGAUUUCAUCUGAACUUGGCCAGUCAGUACUUAAACUCUGAUUGUUAGCAUUAUUUUCACUGCUUUCAGUAGAUUUUUUUGGUUAACCUCUGAGUAAAGAAAUCAGAGCCUAAAGCAAGUUAAGGAUUCAUACAGCAAACUUGUAAACAAGCUCUCUGAUUCCCAUUGAGUCUCCUUGAAUUUGUUCAUUGUUUUGCAUGAUGCAUCCAGCAUCACACAGGGGUGUGCAUAACCCUCUUCAAACAGUACACAUGGUCUACCAACUCCGUUUGAUGAGAAUUUUCACAUUUCCCCAGUCCUGCAAAUAAAUCAGUUUUAUUUUUAGUCUUGCUUUUGAAGUAUUUUACGAAUCUAUUUGCUCCAGGCUUCCUUUAUUCUUGUUGCAAUUUUAUCCAUUGGCUCUGCUUGCUAUGCUACCUACAUUUUAAGUAUAUUGUUUCCACCCUAAUGCAUUCAGCAGUCUAAGUUUUUCUUUUUAACAGCAGGCACUGGGACUUCCAUUCAUGCACAGCAUUAUAUGACAAACUGUGUAAGACAUGAAUGUUUUGAGUUGCGUGGCCUGUGCGUUCGUAUUGAGUGCAAGGUAGGUACUUGUCAUUCUGUUUAUCUCGGUGUGUUUCCAUUCCUUCCCACUGUUUCUGAGCUCCCUACUGUUUUGUUCAGUGGUCUAUACUAGCAAUACAGUAAAAUUGACUGAAAUCCACAUCUCCCAGUGUUUUCUGCUGGCGCUUCAGAGACUCGCUGUCAUUUGUAUUAAGCAGCAAUGAAGCUAGAAUAGCAAAGAAGGGUAGCACAGCACCAGGCACUGAAGAAGCCUUCAAACGGGGGUGGAGGUGGGAUGGAAGGAGUGAAUGCAUAGCGUACAUGAAUUUAAAAAAGAGAGAGUACUGAACUGAAGUAGUAAGUUCAGAAAAGCAUAUGUGUAAGGUAAAACUCCAGAAAUUUGUAUCAUGCUAAAAAAGUUGCUUACAAAAACCUUGUUGCUAUGAAAAGAAAUAAAAGAUGACUGCGAUGAAUGGAUGCAAUGUCAUAAAGCAUGUCCAUGAUACACAACAACCCUCUGCAAAUGUACUUGAAGUAAAACCCCAGCGUUGUGAAAUGUGAAAUGAAACGUAUUUCAUACUAAGUGUGCAUAGGAUUGCAGCCUUAAGAUGUUCUUGUGACUUUUUGCUGUCAUUUCACCAGCUUGUUCUCAGUGCAACUGCUAGGGAGACUGAUUUUUGGUGAUAGGAAGGAUAGGAAGGAAAGCAUGAAGGAACCUGAGAAGUAAAGCACAUAACAUGCUGAACUUGACAGAGCUUGUAAGGAGACUGUCUCUUUGCCAUCAGGGGGGAAAUAUCACGGACACCCACUGAAGAGUCAUCUCCUGUUUUGCUCACUUCUUUGAUGAUAGCUCUUUGCCUCAUGAUACAGGGCCCUCCUUCGCGUCUGCACUAGUUCUGCAAGCUUUCAUUUUGAGUCCUUCAUUCAGAAAAGGGUUUUCUUUUUAAAUGCAAAUUUUUUUAAUCAGGAAACACUUUGGUUUGUACUUAGUGUUUUAGACAGGAGCAAUGUGUUGUUUAUUUUCCUGCAGUCUUCUUUGAUAUUCCAGCCCGUGAUAUAAUUUCUUUGUGUGUGUGUGUGCAUCUUUCUCUCACACAUAGAAUGCAAAUUAGCUAAAUAGCUUGAGUUUGAGAGUUAGGCCUGAUGUAAAAAUUGUAUCUGACUAGCCAAAUCAGUCCUUCACGCAGCAGUGCAUUUUACUUCUUUUCUAAGUAUUCUUUCAGUUUCCAUUGAUUUCAGUGGGUGAGAUGAAAGCACAUGGAACUCAAUGGGGCUUACAAUGUAAUCUUAUAGUGUUUACUUAGAAGUAAAGAUCCCAUUGAUGGGACUUACACAUUUACAUGGAAGUGUAGAAUUAUAACCUUAACUGUACUCAACUUCUUGCUGGAAUCUACCUCUGGUAUUUUCCUAUUAUUCUGGAUUAUUGCUUCACAUGUAUCAUAAAUAAGUACAUGUGCAUAAAUCAUGAGAUAAAUUGACACCUAUUUUUUCUGCUUUGUAUUUACUUUAAAUCACUUUUAUAUAAACAACUGUCUUGGUGUAAGUUUCCCUUUGCUUCAUGUGGAAUACUGUAGCUAGAAUUCAAAUGGCUGCUUUUAGGUAAACCAUUUGGAUUUUGUGCAUAUUUAUAUUUAUUGUCUUUUUUUUGGAGAACAUAUCACAAAAUCACUUGUGAGACUUCAGGGACAUUUCAAAAGCAGUUUGUCAUGUGUUACCUCUUGGAUGCAGAUAAAUAAUUGUUCAAUUAUUUUAAUCCUGAUAUUCCAAAUUUGUGAUGAGCUAGAUCCUACAUAAUUCUUCAAUUUGUCUUCCCUUUAUUUCUGUGCACUAGUGAUCCAUUUAAACAGCAGCUUGACCCUGUAAAUUUAGCUGUUCCAGUGCCAAAAGUGAUUUCUGCCAUGGUAGCAGAUGCAAACCAUCUAUAUUCAUUUGCACCAAAUUUGAUGUUACUGCAUAAAAUACAGGUGCAAAGUAGCAUGAUCAUUAGGUUCCAGGAUUGUCCAGGGGCGUUUCGACAACUUCAUUAAAAGUUGCUCCAGCAUCAUUUGCAGUCAUACUGGAGCUUUUAACAAUUUUGCCUGAUCCUCUAAGCUGCUAAUUCAUUGCAUUAGUUCGCAGGAUUGGAUCCUUAGCAUUAACUUCUAUAAAUAUAUGUGGAUACUUGUUUACAAUCCUUACAAAUAUGUGGUUUUGAUUGGUGUUAUGUUACUUAAUAAAGUUCCUACGUUGGAAGAGCAAUGCAGAUAAUUUGUUUUGAGACUUCCUUUUGCAUAAGGCAAAAGAGCAGCUGUUGCAUGUAGAUCUGUGUUAAAGAGGGAUGUUCAACAUGAAGAAUAAAUUGGGUGGAAAGGAUCAAUAUAAAAAAUGUAAUUCCAGAACUGCACUUUGCGGUAAAUGCAUAAUCAUGCAUACCAUAUGUUAGAUGAAAAUAUUAAGGUUGUUACAUUGAAAUAGCUAUCUCUCUGAAGGUGCAAUUAUUUGGAAAACAUUUAUAUGUUUAAAAGCCCUGAGUUACGUCUGAGUUGAGCAAAAGCAUUCCUCUGUCAGAAUGAUGGGAAAAUUGUACAUGUAGGAAUUAUUUCAGUGAAAAUUUUGAAACACAUUUUCUGACAUUAGUUUAUUUUGAGUGCUGUGCUAGCAUAUUGUCAUGCAAGUCUAGUUCUUUUUGGAGAUGCAGCUGUCAUGAAGGGGUGCCUGGAAUGUGUUUGAGAAACGACUAUGCUAGGGUGAUUUAGAGCUGAAUCUAAUGUGCAACCAUGUACAAACCCAGAACUAGCAGCUUUUGUGUCACAGGAAGCCUUCAGCUUUAGCUUCCCAAACCUCUUAAAAAACAUACCUAUUCCGGGCACAAAACAGUGGCACCUCCAGUCUGAAGAGUGAACUGGUGGCUGAGACCAUUAUUGGGGAAUGCCACAGUGUCUGGGCUUGUGGGGGGUGGGAGUUCAACAUCUUAGAGGCCGAAAUCUUCCAUCCUGCAUCCUUGAAUAAUACAGAAAGAUGGACAUGAUUCAGGAAUUUAUUCUGAUAAGCAGGGGCUGAGCCAGGUUAGUUCCACCUGCCCUUUUCUUACCCCAUUUUCUCUUCUUCAAGGCUCUGAGCUGUGGCUUCUCCAGAGGUACUUUGCAAUAUGGGGCUGUAUAUGUUGCCGCCUGUCUCAUUGCUUUCUCUGUGGCUUCCCUGGGCAAGAUGCAGCUGCAGCAGCCUCUGCCCACCCAGUCUCCAGCUCUGUCCUUGGGUCCAGCUGGCUCCAACACUGGUGCAAAAAAGAAAGGGAAAGGAAAAAGGGAGAAGGGGCUCUGAUGCUACUUGAUGCAAAUGCAGAGGUUCAGCACAGAUGGGCAGGGAGUGAACAGAAUGUUUUGCUUUACUUUUUCAAAUUGGUUUCUGAGUUGGUCAGCUUUCAAGUAGGGUGCUUUUGAACUUAAGAAUUUUCAAGUUUUUCAAGGUCGGGAACAGGAAGGUUUUUGUUUUACUCCAAGAUGUGUUGAGCGUCAGUAAAGUUUUGCAUCUGUGAGCACUGAAGCCUGUUCCCCUUUUUGUUUUGCUCAUUUCAGGCACUUCCCCUCCUCUUUUGGUGCUUCUGUCUCACUCAUGAAACCACCUCAGCUUCUUGCUCGGUUUCACUUGGGGUUGCAGCAACUGCUGCACUUCUGUUUACCCAACAAACUUCCAGGUGUGCAACAGAACUUCCCUUUCUUCUCCUGAUGCCUGUGACCCUCCCAUUGUGUAUCCUCAACAUCUGCUUCAGAGGGUUGGGGGACCCUUUGGAGCAGAUUUGGGGGUGGAGCAUGAGGGAGGACAAGGAGAGGAAUUCCCAUUGCAUGAAUGAAAAUUGCGUUGUGCAGCGGCCAUUGGAUACGUCCCUCCAUUCUUUUCUUCCCUUCCCUUUAUCUAUGGCGUCUACUGACUCCACCCACUUCUGCCAAGCACAGCUCAUAGGAAGCAAGGAUUUAAUCUAUAUUUUCUUGGACUUUAAUAAACUGUGACUGAAAUCUGGAAGAGCAAAUGAGGUAGCAGGAAAAUUGAGUGGAGGUGAGAAAAUCUUUGCUAUCCCCUGAAGUCAUCUUUGGUGCACAGUGCAUCUGUGAGACAGAUUGCCCUCUGGCAGGAUUCUGAUGAGGAAACAGGAUUUGUGAUGGGUGGUGAACCUGUUCCAUACUGAGUACCUUGUGACUUCCAAGAGAACUAUAUAACUGUUUCCUGCACACUCUAUGCCAAACUAUGGCCCUCUAGCUUCGUUCAGCUGGUCCGCAGCAUGUUAGAAUUAUACAAUAUAAGAAAUAAAAGAAGCAGUAAAAAUACAAUUAAAAGUCACACAUACAGCAUCUAGCAUAGUGCAUUUCAAUUGCUAUAACAGGCAGAAAACCCAGCAAUUUCCAAGUGGUCCAUGGGAGCAAAAGUUUGGGAAACACUGCUCUAUGCAGCUGCCCACUGGGUAGGAACUCAAGUUGCUUAACUCUAUUGCAUGGCAUGUCCUUGCAUGAGUCUGCAUCCUCAGACCGUAUGUUUGCAGACCACUUGUUUGAAAGCUCCUACUUUUAUGAAUAUGGAAUAUGAGAGGCUGUCCUUAACCAAUUCUGCAUUCUCACUACUGCCUUUUGACCUCUAAUGCUUAAUGUCUUCGGAUUACUGAAUUUAGCUAAAAUUGAGCAGAGGGGAGUUAUAUUCUUGAUAAAUAUAAUGUUUCCAAACUAAGCUAUCUUUAAUGACAAGUGUCCUUUUAAGAUGACCUAUGAUUACAACCCACGGUUUUGCUGUCAUUUAAGCUAGAGGGGACAUGUGUUGCUGUCUUGCUCAAUUGAUGGGAUUGGAUAGAUGACUGAGUGAUGAGACCGCGGGCCGGGUCUUUAGCUUGUCAUCUUGUCUGUAAUUCAGUAUGACAGCAUGCAUGCAAGGCCAGUAGAUUUCUUCCAUCGUCCUUAUGCUUCGAGACAGAGCUCUCUGUGUGCUUUGGUGCUCUACAUAUUCUAGCUAGCUGAAACUUCCAUGCAUAGAAGUGUUUUCUCAUUAACCAUAAAGCCUUGGCAAGUUGUUUAGUAUGGCUCAUUUCUUGGUGAAUUUCUCCUAUUCUGCUAUGACAUACAAACUAAUGUUCGUUUUGAACCAAGUUAUCAAGCUACUGCCUGCUGUAUCUUAGUGUUUAACAUGUUACGUAUGCCCUUUUCCAUUUCUCUCAUUCAGGUGGUCUCUUUCCUCCUUUCAAUCUUCCAUUAUCAAAACAGCUAGGAAUUGCUAGGAAUUAUGGGAUGUUUCAAGGAGCAUGAUAUAGCUAGUUGUCAGUAAGGAAUUCUAAGCACCUUUAUACCUUGACUUGGUAGGUCAAGCCCUUCUGUUAUUUUGUGGGUUUUUAGCUAAACGAAUUAGUACAAUUAUUUUCUCUCUCAAAUUUUGGUGGAUGAAAGGCUGUUGGAAAAAAUGGGAGGAAAUUGCCUGGUAGAGACAGAGAAUAAAACAGCUGAACUAAUCUUAGGUGUUAAUUAGAAUAUUAACAAUUCAAAUAUAGUUUCUCUCUCUCUCUCUUUCUAAAAGAUUAGCUGUUCUUUUCAUUACUGGGUUGUUUUUUAACACAAGCAAAUAAGUGUUUCGUUUUUUGAAAGAUGAAGCAUCCUCCGUGCAGUCAGGUUUUCUAAUGUACUAGUCUAUUUGAAUUUUUAUUUCUGUUAAUCUGCAUGGAUCAUGAUAUAUUAACACACGCAUAAAGGAAAUUACCAUAAUAUUUAAAAAUCUGUCCCCAUAUAUUAUGCAUAGGUAUAUUGCAUGUUGAAAAAUAUAUAGCAUUUGUUCUGAAAGUAAGCUCAUGGAAAGAGCAUGGAGAUUGGGCAGGGGGUGGGACAAGGAGAUCGGGUGGGCGGCUGGGAUGGUGAGGGUGUGUGUGUCCUGCUUUGCCCUCCCAAAAUGUUGAAGGGUAUGAUGUGUAACUUAAUAUACAAUGCUCUGCAAAGGCAUUGCUCCACAGCUUCAGUAAGAUCUUAUAAGGACUUUCUUUCCUCAUGCCACUUCAGUUGUUAGGGGUCUCUAACCGGAGUACGGGUGGAGAACAUGUUGCCCUCCCAGAUGUUUCUGGGCCCCUGGGAUAGCUCAGUUGGCAGCGCAUGAGACUCUUAAUCUCAGGGUCGUGGGUUUGAGCCCCAUGAUGGGCAAAAGUUUCCUGCGUUGCAGGGGGUUGGUCUAGAUGACCCUCGUGGUUCCAUUCAACUCUACAAUUCUAUGAUAACUGUGAUUGCGACUCGCAGCUCCCAUCAUCCCUGACCAGUGGAAAUUGGAGUCCAGCAAUGUAUGGAGGGCCACUGGUUCCCCACCCCUACUCCAGGCAGACAUUUCUCUCUGCUUCUGGCAUCAUCCAAAAUUACUACAGGAUACUUGGAGGCUGUGUCCAGCAUCUGAGCAGUUUUUACUUAUUAAGCAAUUCAGGAGCCAAGUUUGUGGCUUGGAAGUAUUUUCACGAGGACUUAAGCGAAAAGGUUACUAAAAGCAAAUUAAUUUUAAAAAAUAACUGUGAGCUCCUGUUAUUAGGAGCAUUGAACCGGCAGCCAAAGUUUGACAACAGUUUCUCCACCUUAAUCAGUGGGCCUUUCUUGGGGUGGCCUUAAUUUUUAUUUUUAACACUUGGAUUUUGUUCCCAAUGACUGAACUUCUUUGCUGCCAGCGUGUUACCCUUUGUUUUGAAUAAGAAAUUUAUUGUGCAGAAUGAAUGUUGGAAUGGGACAAGGGAUUUGGUCUUUUCCUUGUAUUUUUUCUUCUUCCCCUGAUUGAAAUUGGUUCCGCAAAACGGAAAUUUGCCAAGCAAAUCUGUUUACAGAACACUCUGCUUCUUAAUAUAACGAAAGCAACCAGAAGGAGGAAAAUGCUGCAAAGCAUCAAAUAAAGAGCUGUUUUAAUGGGGCAGUGACAUUUUGCAGAAUUUUCCCUUUUGUAUUAGUUUCCUGCCCGUUAGCUAUGUCAGCGUAAGAAUUUUCUUGCUGUGUUGCUGGGAAUGUGAAUAAAAUAACUGUGCCCAACUUGCUCCUGAUAUGUCAUAGCCAUGAUUUCUGUCCUGAACCAUAGAAUGAAAAUCACUUGCAUGCAUAGUUUGAAUGCUUUGUCUGCCACAUAAAAUAAAGGCUUGUUUUCCCCCUAGAAGAGUGCAAUGACCUCUAGAGGGAGCCAUCUGUCUAAGUCACCUUGCUAAUGGUUUUUUUCUGUCUCCCAUAAGUGGCCCUGUAAUGGCAAAAUUUGGCAACACUGGAUCUGUAGCUAUACUGUUAGCUCUGAUAUGUGGAUCUUUGUAGACUGACCUCCGGCAGAAGAAAGUGAAAGAAUAGACCAAUGGUAGCCGUGAAUAAUUUGUUGUGUGCCUGUAGCCACAGUCAGCAGAUGAUGUUUUAUUCCAUAAUAAAAUGCACACUUCUGGGGCAUAUUUGUAGUAACUACUAACCACAGUGACAGUCACUCUGUAUUUAUUGUUUUGAUGUCACAUUCUUUUGUGCUACACACCCAAAUAAUACUUUUCUAAAGAUCAUGAGUAUGUUGACAAAAUGUACAACAUUGGGUUAAAAAAUUAGACUGCAGAAUAAAUUAUUCUGGGAACUUUGCCCAUUCUCUCCCCACCCCCACUUUACAAGGUGGAAUUCAUUGCACUAUAGUCUAAAAUAAUUUGCAAUCAAGAUAUGGAGAAAAUUCCUUUAUAAAAAUGCUGGGUUGACAUUAAUGUAAUUUUUCCAUUGGAGCCAUGAAAGACUCUUAAAUGAGAAAGAGUUGUAUAAUGAAUAACUGUAACUAGCAGUACGGAGCAUAAUUGCAAUAGUUUGUUUGUUUACAUUUUGUGUAUUUUUCCCUUUCUCUCUUGGAAAAAAAGUUUCCAAAAAGUAACUUCUUUUUUGUGCUGUUUAUAGAUUUAUUUUUCCAAAACAAUGCUAUAGUUUUUGCUAUUUAGAUGUAGCAAGAGAAUAUUAUUUCAUGAAUGAAAGCUUUAAAAUAACAUGAAACAUUUCUGUGAUUUUUUUCUUACUGAACAGUUUUUUUUCAGUUUAUGUACCCAACUGCUGCCCCACUUUUUGGGUACAGAACAUUUAUUCUGACUGUUCUCUACACACAUUUUUUUGCUUCCAAAUACCUUCAAAAGUAAAGAGUCACCCACAGAGUAAAAUAAUUUUGAGGGGUGGGAUGGGGAUCCAUAUUUAUUAUUUUGCAAGGCACAAAGGCUGUCUGUUUUUAGCUGGGAGACCAAAAAAUGAUGCAUGCCAAACCACAUCCCUAAUUGACCUUUUAAAAAUUCAUUUUACUCCAGGCACCCCCCCUACCCAAAAUCAUGAGAAAAAUGAAUUUUUUUAUAAAUGAUGAUUAUCAGUGGGAUAAUUCUCAGACUACUGCUGUGUAUGAGCUACCUGUGAAUGAUGGAUUAAUAAUUCUUGAAGCAUUGGCCCCCAAACUCUUAUGCCUGUAACGUUUAUAUAAGUGUGUGAAAGAAGAAAAAAUCUGAAAACUACAUUUUCAUGUCUUGAAUUGCUAAUAAGCUGGACAUCCUUAGUAGUCUAAUGAAUAAAUGUAAUAGUUUCAAAUUCAUACUGUUGAAUGGUUUCUUUAAAUGUAAAGGUUCAUCAUUGUUCCACCCGAUGUGUAUGUCUUUAAGGGGCCAGAGCAAGGGCCAGAGCAAGAUAAGGAGACCCAGCUUUACAGCUGUGAAACAUAGCAGGUGCUGCUGAGUUGUAUUGAUUAAGCUGUGUUGGCAAUUGGGUGUAGUAUAUAAGAAGCAGCGCCUAGCUCUCCCAUUACCCUGGGGGAUGGGUUGGUGGUUGGGUCAUGUUUGUUUGUUGAUGUAUUUAGUGUAUAAGGAGUUUUUGUUUUUGUAAUUAAAACCUUGUUUAAGUUAUUUCUGAGUCCCUUUUUAAUGCAUGGUCUCCCCAGCAAGCUCUCUGCAGCGCUACCAUACUGCAAAUAGCCAACACAUACAUGCCAAUUAAAUAAAAAUGAGUGUUCAGGAUAGAGUGUGGAAGCACUCAGUCAAGCAUACCUGUUUAGAGUUUCCCUUCAUUCUUGGUUUCCAUAACUGUGUUGCAAUAAACCCAGAUCUGGAAUUAUCCAGGGGAAGAUGGAAUUUUUAUGUUUUAAAAUUAAAGCUCUUUGGGAUGAAAGAAAGAUAGCUUUCCCCCUCAUGAAAUGAGAUGACAGGUUGGCAUAUCUAUAGUAUUUGCAGGGUACGAAGUGUUUUACAAAUCUUAUUUAAUUAAUGUCAUAACACUCCUAACAUUGUUUAGACUUGUGAUUUGCCCAAGGCCAUCCAGUGAGCAUUAGACAGGCCUGCGUGAGAGUUUCAGAUUUGGAUGCUCACACUGCUAAUGUUUGGUCUGACGGUUGCUGAUGCAGCUAUUCCUUGCAGUGGCAGCUAGUCAGAAUGGGAAUUAAUAGCUGUAUGAAGAUGUGGUCAGCCAGUUGUCGUCUUUAGCAAAAAGCUUGGUUUAAUUGGAACUCAGCAUGUGCCCCAGAAAUAUGUUCUCUUUUGGCUUUGCUUCAGGCAAUGAACACGGCACUAUCGCCAAGGAAACUGGAGAAAACAACAAUGGUUUAAGCUCAGUUUGGAGCUGGAAUGGUUUAAGCCAGGCAUAGGUAAACUCCGGCCAUCCAGAUGGUUGGGACUACAGUUCCCAUCAUCCCUGACAACUGGUCCUGUUAGCUAGGGAUGAUGGGAAUUGUAGUCCCAAACAUCUGGAAGGCCAGAGUUUGCCUAUGCCUGGUUUAAGCCAAACUUCCGACCAUAGCAACAACCUUCAUAUAUGGACCCCACUAAGUGCAAAAAAUGAUAAUUCCCUGGAACUUUUACCAUAUCAAAUGCAAGUGCACUUCCUUAUUUAGCUAUUCAUUAACUCUGGGAAAGUAACAGUGAGGCUUCCUCCAGCAAGCGGCUUCUACCAGUAGCUGAAUUAAGUCUAAAUGUACUUUUCCAGGGAAAUAUCUGCACCUUUCCUUGGGGAGGGGGGCACCUGAAUAUGAGUUCUGAUUGGCUAGAGUCCCCAAGUGACCUUCCUGUUACACUUCAGCAGAAAAAUUAGUUGGUUAUACCUGCUGACACUUCACUAACCGUGUCCUUUGUCACAUAGUGUACUUUCUGUCCAGCACUGUCCUUAAUUGCAAAGUCAGUUGCAGCCUGUGGGAAAAAUGAUGCUCUACCUAAAAACAUGGAGCAACACUGUUCUUAUCCCAGCACAGGGCCACCAUGGUUUUAUUUCCCACCAGUUGUUGGUUGUAUUUCCUACCCCAAACUAUGGCAGAUCUGGCUACCAAUCCUUCCUCAGACAGUAUAAUAAAUAAACUUGAAUGUUUUGUUCUUUAAAUUACACUGCCGGCUUUAAAACUUGUUAAUAAAUUCUUCUCCUUUGUGCACAAUUAAUAUUACAGUAGUGGGCUUUAGACAUGGAAUGAACAUAUAUAUGGAUUUAGAGAUAGAGAGAUAGAGAUAGAUAAAGCCUACUUAUAAUUUAUAUCAUUAGACAUUAUCAAUGUUUCAGUAGUUCCUUGAAUUGUGUAGUGUCUCUUUAAGGAAACUGUUACAUCCUCAAAUAAGUUCAUUUCCCUACUUAAAACUCAUCAUUUUCCUAACUUCACCCCUGCUCUCAAUCUGGUUAAGUACCAGCUCUGGGUAAGGACUCACUGGAAAUAAACAUGGUUGAAUGGCGUUUCUUAGCUGUUACUCACCAUCAGCUUCUUGUGAUGGAUGCUUUUUUCUCUGGAAAUCUUGCUUCAGCUUCCCUUGAAGUCUUCCUUUUGAUUAGGGACCUGUGGACCAGGACACAGCAAGAAGGAGUCAUGGUGUCCUCUUCUGAUGUCUUCUUCCUUCUUAAGGCCAACUGCAUAAUACUGUCACACUGACCAGAAACUGGAUAACCACCUCUGAAGUCUUCUCAUAACUUGUGCCUCUGCCUUAAGUGGUAUAAGUUAAUAAUCACCUCUUCACCUCCUUCCUAGCACUAGACCAUACCACCCCUGGAAAGGGCUGUGUUUUCCUGCUCAUUGGCCUUUCUAAACUAAUGGGGGCAAAUAGAACAUUCUUAAAUGGCCUCCAAAGCUUCACCUUUUGAAUCCUCUAGUCUACUCUACUGUAUAAGGUAACAGGCCUAGUUUUGAUGUCUCUAUAGCUUCAUACAGUUAUGGCCCCAUUUAACCUCUUCCUGUUAUUUAUAAACACAACAGUAUUGCCUUUUAAAACACAGUAUUAUUACACACAGCUAUUCUAAUGCAUAGGAAACAGGUCCUACUUCCUGCAUCUGCAAAGAGGUGGGCUAGAUGAACUUCCAACUCUAUGGAAGUUGGCUAUUAAGAAUCCUUGGUUUCUGACUGUGUGGUUGCCAUGUUAUCCUAAAUUAUAUUUAGAUGGCUAAGUGGCUACUCGUGUGUUCCUCCCCUUGGAGGGAAAAAAAGGGAAAGGCCAUGUGCAAAGGAAGUGGGAGAGAAUUAGCCUGAGGAUUUGGACUGGAUUUGGAUUGUAGUCCAUAGAUCUUGUUGCAGACAUAAAGAUCACAUGAAAAUAAAAUACUUAAAACAGAAUGUGAUGUGCAUAUUUGCCAGGCUAAAUGAGUCCACGUGGGUGACUUCCAUUCCAUGCAACUACACAAUAUUCACCAUGCUUUUAUUUUGUUUUUCUGUUAGAAAAUAGUGCUUCAGUGGGUACUGGCAGAGGUUGAUGUCGUUUUACAAAAGCCAGCUACUGCCCUGUGGAAGCUGUUGCCGGUGCUCUUGCUUGGAAAGACCAAGUGCCCCCAAAUCUAAACUGGUCUCCUGCAUUGGUAACAUGUUGUAUUAACAGCAGAUUCAUUUAUUUCCUAAUUAACAAAAAGUGUUCUUUUUAUUUAAGCCAUCUGGCUGGAGAGCAUGUUGUUUAGCUGCUUGCCAUUACAGAUUGGAGCUACAUGGGGAGAAAGAUGUCUCAGUUCUUGUUUUGGCUUGUGUCUGGUUUGAUGUCGUAGGUGCACUAUUGCACAUGCUCGUCACUGCAGCAUUCAUUCCUCACUGACUGCAAAAAAGUGUGUUAAAAUAUUUCUUUUUACAAACAAAACAGGUAUUGUUUUGACAGCCUAUUUCAUGCCACUCCAUCAAUUGCAAUUCAGACUUGCGGUUCUCUUUACACAACAAUGAAAGAACCUGGAGCCAAGCUCUUUAGAUGACCCUCCUCUGUAGGGGCUUGCCAAGAAUUUUAAAAUAGCCCCAUGGUGGUCUCUUGGCUCAUCUUCAUUAGUGAUGAUGUACUUGUGUGGAUUCAGUGCUGUAACAUGAAAGGUCUACUGCUUUUUACCGAUCCAUCUUCUCUGCGGUUCCCUUCUGUUUCUCACUGUGCAUGUAACCUUUCCCUGGUCUUUCCUAGCUGUGCUGUCUCACAUCUCCAUUCUGUCUUGAAGUGGAAUUCUGCCUGACCUCUAAAUUUUCUCUUUCCUGUGCAGCUUUCAUUGUUUCUCCACCUUUGCUAUAUGAGUAUUAGUCCAUAAAUUAUCAUUUUCAACAGAUAUGCAGUUCUACUUUCCCAUAAUAUCAAAGAUCUUCUAGCCUCUGCUAUAAUCUUCUACUGAUACUACUCGUCUUGACCUCCAGGAAUAUAUUAAUAAGAAUAUAUUCUUGCCUUACAGGCCAGCCUUCACCUUAGUUAUUCAGGCUGAUAAAAAGCAUGCAAUUGGAUAGCUUCCACAGCUAAAACAGUAGCAAGCAAAAUUGUGCUCUGUAGUCUAGCAUUGGCCAACAUUAUACUCCAGAAUUGCAGAAGACAGUAUUGGGCCCUGAAUUGUUUCUUUGACACAUUAGUACUUCACUACACAUGCAGGUUGACUUGGGAGCAGUCUGACUCGAGACCACAGUGGAAAAAACACAUGAUUUGUAUCCAGAAGGUCGCCGGUUCAUCCCCUCCCAUCUCCAGCUAGUGGUUGGAAAGACUCCUGUCUAGAACUGGAGAACCUUGGCCACUCAGUGUAGACAACACUGAUGUAGGUGGAUUAAGAGUCUGACCCUGUAUAAGGCAGCUUCCUACCCGGUAGAGAGUACUUUUUCUCAGAUGACUGAAUCAUCAAGAUAGCCUCAUGCAUUUGGGAAUAGAGGCAUAGUUAUGGACCAUCUGGAUUCUAAGCAUACCUCCCUCUGCCUUGCAAUCCAAGGCCCACUGUCUAGAUGUGAUGGUGAAAGAAACAGGUUUCAGUGUGGAGUGUGAAAUUGGAGCUGGCAAGGAAACUGGAACAACUAAUUGCAUGGAUGCAAUAGAUGUUAGGGGUGCUCUGCUGAACAGAGCCUCCUCAGAUAUAGUUUGGCUUAAAACAGGGAUGGGGAAACCAUGGCACUCCUGACAUUGUUGGACUCUAGUUUACCUUUGUGCCAGCCAGCAUGACCAGUUGUGACUGUGGUACAGCUGGUGCCUACCCUUUUAGAUCCCAGCAGAAGACCUGGUUAUUAGCCCAGGAUGUCGGAAAUCAAGCCUUUAUCGGGAGAAACUGGCAACUCUCCCAGGCACCCGGCUUGGUCUCCUGUUGACCUCCUUGGCUGCAUUCCCCAGCAAGUAUUUCUAGUGGAAAUACUUACAUUUUUAUUUCACUGCUUUUGACUUACCUGCCUUGCUUUUUGUAACAGCAUUGUGAAUUUGAAGUGGUUUUAAUUGUAACUCACUCUAAAAUGGUUGUUCAGUGAAGAGUAGGUAGGAAUUUUUUUAAUUUAAUAAAAAACAUACAUUUUAAAAAAUGGUGAGGGAUGAUGAAAGUUGUGAUCCAACAACAUCCAAGCCCAUGAACUGAUUCAUGGUAGAGUGGCUCUCAUGUUUAGAAAUAUACAUUUGUAAGGUAAGCUUUGGCACAGAGAAGAAGUCUCUGCUCUCUUAACCAUGCUUAAGUAGACUGGGAGUGCAUCAUGGAUUCUUUUUAAUUUUAACUCUGGUCUAGAGUUAUAUCUGCACAGUGGUUAACACUUUUAUCAAGGUUUGCAACUCUUAUUCAAACUUGGUUUGAAGCACUAAUUUAAAUUUCUAGGAAAGGAUGUGCUCCAUAGGUCAUGCCUUAUAUUUAUUAAAAUGUUUAUGUUAUUCAAAUAUGCCUAACAGUUUUCUAGUUGGGCUUUGUGGAGAAGCACCAGUUUUCAGGUAGGCUUACAGGUUAGCCGUGUUGUUGUCUGGUGGCCAUCAUAUUACUCAGCAGAGAUGUAGACAGGCAAGUUGACUUAGCAGGGUGUCAAGAUGGGCAUUUCAACAUGGAAUCAAAUGCAUAGAAAGUUCAUAAAACUGUAUUGCAACAUAAUUUUUUUGCAGCAGCAAGGUCAUUAACUAUUCUCUAAAACUGUAAUGAAAACCUUGCUGUUACGAAAAAUUAGAAAAAAAUACCGGUAACCCAUAUCACCAACUAAUAGGAUACCCAUAUGUCAUAUUUUUUAAAUAAAAACCCCAACACAGUCUUUAAAACUUUAAACUGAAUAUGAAUUUGUACCAGAGAUGAGGGCAAGCAGAAAGACCAGCAUUUUUGAGGUUUGAUGCUGUACUUUCAAAGCAACCAAGAUUACACUCCUCUGCUGAAAAGUGUGCCUUCUCUUUUGCCUCUACUACUUUCACAUCAAAUCUCAGGAAUGAUGCCAUCGCUCCAGGUCAAAGGAAAAGCAGAACCAGCUGCCUUAAGCCAAACAAAGAGCAGGUUUGCUGUCCUCCCUGCUGUUUUGGCUUGAGCUCUUCAGACUGGAAAAUUCAGAAGCAUGAUCUCUCAAGCUUUGUAAAUGCCAAAGCCAUCUAAGAGGAAAAUAGGACAAGGCUACCCCCAGGCAAGUUUGUACAGAAAUCCGCUGGCUGCAAGGAAGAUUUACGGUAAACAUCGCAUAGGAUGGAACUGCUCCAUGGAAAUUAUUCCACAAGAACAAUCCUGAAGGAGUACAUAUAGGCAGAUUUUAAAAAGGAACAUCUGGGAAAUAUGGUAGAAGGCAAAGGAAGACUCAACAGAUGAGGUAUUGCCUUUUCAACAGGGACCACAAGACGGCCAUCAACAACAAAGCUGUCUAAACAAUAUUGGCUCGGCCUUGGAAGGUGAUUUCAUGUUGACAAGGCACACCAAAGGAGAAAGCACAUGGGGUGUGCUUCUGCUGUGCUUCAGGGGAAUCUGGGUAGUGAGAGACUGCACCCUUCACAUGCUGCUCUGUAAAUGGAAAAAAGUGAAAGCCUAGCCUUCACAGACCCAGUCUUCCAGUGCUUGCUGGAAAAAGGCACCAUAGCUUUAGAAGCAACUACAGCAGCUUGUAAGCAAAAAGGAUUAGGUAACACAAAGUGCCAAUAAGAACCUUGAGCCUGGAGAAGGAUCCAGAUUUGGACCAAGUGCCGCAAGAAUACUUCUAAAUUGGACUCACUAUUCUAAAAAUAUACUCAGUAUUCAUCAAUUUCAUUUUGAGCCCAGACACUUUAGUAUUAUGUCUCUCGAUAUUCUUAUAAAUGCCAUACUGUAAGAUAGAUGCUUUGAUAAAUGGUGAAAUGCAAAAUCUAGCAAAAUUGACCUAUAAAGGUAGGGAGCACCAGUUGACUAUUAUAUUGAUGAUUAUAUUUGCUCCAGAUUGAGCAAAAUUGCCUUACUGUAAAACACUUUGGGAAUACACAAUUCCCCAUCUAAUGUGACAUUAUUAUUAUAGAUUUGGAGAGGGGGAGGAAAUCUAAAAUGUUAGCCAGGGAAGUUACCAUUGAACGCCCUUUUUGGUACUGAUUUCAUUAUCACUAGGAUAAAUCUUAAGAAGACUGUUCUGAUUUAGAAAUAUGACUGCUUAUCAUUGAGGUGUAGAAACUUCAUGCUACAUGUUCAAGCAGCAACUUAUGUACAACAUAAAUGAGGGAGUUAAAACUAAGAGCAUUUAUUCAUGACCAGCUUUCUGUGUGUUGAGUAGUAUGAUGAGUCAUAUUUUUGUUGUUGUUGACAGAUUAUCCCUAAAUCAUUCAGUCUAGCUGGGAAACUUCUUCCCAGGGAAAGUCUAUCUUUAAAGUUUGGAGAUCAGUUUUUGUAUCCUUUGUUUGAUUAUUGUAAGAGAAGGCACCAAUUCUCCAGAGAAUAUUUAUGGGGUGUGUGUGUGUGUGUGCAUGAGGGGCUGCAGGGUAGCGGAAUUCCUAAAAAUUGUGUGCUUCCCCCAUUAUGCUGGUUGAUUCCUUCUGUUGGUGGACAGAGAUCAUUGGUUACCACUCACUGAUUAUUUGUUUGGAAUUGUUUCACAAUACUUUUUUUCCAAUUGGAGUUUCAUUAGUUUUUCUUUGUUGAUUUGUCAAGGCAUAACAGGUUUUAUACUUCAUAUUAAUGUGGUUGGUUAGAUAGGAGGAUGAAUAGGGCAUUCUAAACUCUGUUCAGUUUUGCGUUUGCUGGAUUUUGCCUUUUAAAACAGCUAAAGUUGCAUGAGCUGUCGCUAGCAAAUGGCGUAUUGUUACAUCACCCAAACAGAAUGGGUUUCUGCUUUUGGACAACAUAUCUCUAAAGUUCCUGGCAGAUGGCUAUCGCAGGAGGUUAGGAAGGAUUGAACAGUUUGACAAACACAGCCUCGGAGAACCUCCUCUGGAAUUCUAGAGAGGGUUUUCCAGCUAGACUUAGUCAUUCCCCCCCCUCAAAUGUCUUGGCAUGGCUGAUCACUUGAGGGUGACAUAUGGUAGGAACACGCUCUGAGGGACAAGCCUCCCGGAUGGCAAACAGCACCAUGCAAAACAGACAGAUGGUGGCUUAUUCAACCUUGGAAAGUCGUUUAAUCCUACAUACUGGCAAGGCCUGAGUGUAAAGAGAGACAGACACACAACCCUAAUGGAAUCUGAAGCAAAGAUGUGAUGAGUUCACUUACAAAUUGCCUAGGACUGAGACUGCAGUAGAGUUGAACUGAUAUGGUUGUACACAAGGAUUUGUGAACAUACGAGUUCUGGUUGUUUUGAGCAACAUCAUAGACUAAAGAACCUCGAGCAAAGUCAGCACUUGUUCUUUCAGCUAAAAUUAAAAUGGCAUAUUUGAAAAGCCACUGAUGAUUUGAAUUGUUCACUUGGUUGAAACUUUGCUUAGGAGAGGUACCUGCUUCUCUUCAGGAUUCUGAUUACAUUUUAAAAGUGAAGUAUUCAGGUCUCAUUUUCUCUGUCACAAACCAUCAGGUUUAUAAACACUCCCCCACAACCACAUUUAUAUUGAAUUUAUUUGCAUAAUACAUACAAAGAAAAUGGUGAAAUACAAUAUUUUGCUGGCUAACAACAGAGACCAACAAACUAAACAGUGGUAAUCCAUUAAAAAUCCAGUUUGUUUUUUAAAAAAUACUAAUAUGUUGGGUUUUUUUAAUGUAAAUUUUAAAGUCAUAAAACCUCAUAUUUAGGUUCCAACUCAACUAAAUCGUUGUACUGGCAGGAGCCAACACAAUGAUUCCUGCUAGUGCAACAGCGCUUUCCUUCCUCUCUGCCUCUCAUGCCCUCCUCCAAAUCGUCUCUUGGGGGUUGGGAGAAGUCCCAGAACAGCACAUGGAGGUGAGGCACAUUGUUCCAUCUGGGAAGCAGAAAUGCUGAUGGAACGAUUGUAUUAGCACGAUACUGAAUUCCAUCCUUAAAAACCUCACCAAUAGUGAGAAAGUGUUAACCUUUUUAUGAUUAUUGGAGCGAUAUUUUAUAGAACAGAGUCCUCCUGUGUAGAAAGUCCUUCUAAAGGAUGUCCAGCUUCUGAGUUGUCUUGAAAAUGCAUAAUAAUUACUCUUCUGAUCACUGCAAUAGUUGGUCAAGAGUUUGGAAAUAUUCGUGGCUGAGAUUUCUUCUUUGUGUUUCCUUCUCAGAAUAUUUGCCAUCACAUGCUUGGUUCCAGAGUGCUCAUAUCCACUUGAACUGGUUUCAAAGGGAUACUGUGAUUCUCCAAUGUCUGCCUUGGUAAGUAGAGCUGUGUGUGGUGUAUCCACAGUCAACCUCCCACCUGAUACAGAGACUCUUAAGUUUUGUUUUGAGUAGCCCUGUCAUUCUUGAUUGUUUUCCCCAUCUUCUCCAACACUCUUACCCAACUUGGUGCCAUCCAAAUGUUUUGGACUACUAUGCUGACUGGGGCUGAUGGAUGCAAUAGCCCAAAACAGCUGUAGGGGAAGGUUGGUGGACACCAGACAGAUGUCAAUUCUCCCAAAACACCUCAAGAUCAAUAGUUUGAAAGGGUUUGCAAAGAUUUUAAAAUGUGGCUAUUAGAAUGAUAAUAAAGAUAGUCUUUCUUACAAUGAAAACUGAAAUUAAAAAUUAAAGUGACCGAUCAAUAUGCACAUGCUGCCUCUUUCAUUUUGUAGGCAAUAGAAAAGGUUUUCAUUUUGUAGACAGGCUAGACACAGCCUCCUCUUAGAGAUUGUGUUUCAAAAAAGGCAUAUAUUUCCUUGCCUGCAUUCCUCUGGAUACGAAUAGCUAAGAGGUGCAGCACUUAGGAGAGGAGCCAGCUGUUUGCAGAAAUGUCUUCUCUGCCUACAAAAGAGAGAGAAAGUUUCAUGGCUCCUAGAAAAACUGACACAAUUGUGUUUUCUCAGACAUUUCUGCUGAAACAGCGAAGUCUACGUCAAACAUAUGUAUCACCAAUGAUUCCUUCUCACCCCCAAUAUCAGCCAAGGACAAUGGGAACACAAGUCAAACCGUACAUUUUUAUAUGCUAAAUAAAGUCCAAAAGGUGGCCAUAGGCAUGUGAACUAUUUGUCCUUUCAAUACAAGUUCAUAUACUCUUCUUUAUAAAGCAGGUGUGGGAAACCUUUGGCUUUCCAGAUGUUGCUGAACUGCAGCUCCCAUCACCCCUGGCAAUUCUCUAUGCUUGCUAGGGCAGAUGGGCAUUGUAGUUCAACAACAUCUGAAUGGCCGAAGGUUCUCCACUGCUGUCAUAAAGCAGGAGGUAUUGUUGGGGGUAUUGCCUGUCUCAUGUUAUUUUUAUCUAUACUACAUAGCAGGGGAGGGUAACUUGUUCUGGGUAGCUGGCCAGAUCUUUCCCAACCACUGUGGAUGAAAUCUGACCAAUGGGAGGGUCCGCUUGCCUCACAUCAGGUGACCUGUCUUUACUCGCACUUUCUGAAAUGAAACCGUGUGGGUGAAGGCACAUCCCACAAAGCAGUGACAAUUGGCUGGUCUUCAGCUGAUUGUUUGUGCUUGCAGAUUGCUAAGCACAGCACUACCUGACCACUAUCUGAUGUCAUAAUAAGGCAGGUGAGUGUGAUUUGGCCUAAAUGGCCGAGCAGCCUGGGUUCUCCACUGCUCCCAUAUUGUGUGAGGGUUGCUGGCUGACCAUCUCUUUUGCAGGUUGAUUCCUGGCUAAUAGUCCAGAAUGAUCAGUUGAUGUUUUAUCAAAGGUAGCUAACAAUGGGAAAUGCUCCCCUGGUACCCAUGAGUCUCUCUCUCUCUCUUGGAAUGUGAUGCAGUCAGAGCUUGGGGAAGGUAACAUAGUGCAACACCCUCAGGCUUUGCUAGAAAUUAGAGAAAAACAGUUAAAAGGUGUUUUACUACUCAGAUUUGGAGGCAAUGAGAGAGCUGAGAGUUUUCUACUUCAGGUUUAGCUGGAAAUUAGGGUGCAAGUUUGUGGAACAGCAGAUGUUGCACUGUAGAAUCUGAUGCAGGUUGUGUUGUCUGCUUGCAGAAGUGUCUUUUCCUUCUUUUGCUCUGCUUUUACAAGUAAAGUAGAUAUGAGGAAGGCACCAUAAGCCUCCAGUGCUCUUUUAAUCAAUGGCAGAGCCAGUAUGGUAUAGGGAACACAGAAGAAGCACCAAAUUUGGUACUGAGCGCACAAGAAUUCUGAGAACCACAGAACCACUAAAGAGGUCAUCCAGGAAAAGUAAAUCAAGCCCCGUGUCACAUUCUUGAACUAGGAUCCCUGAACUGCAGAGUUGCACUGGCACUACAGGACUGAAAAUAAUUUCCUUAUCCUGAUCCCAGUCCUAAUUUGGGGGCGAGAAGAUUCCAGUGCAGCCCACAGACCUUUCCUGGCAAGCACAUGCUGCCAUUGGCUUGGAUCCCAGGUUGCUCUGCUAUUCAUGCAGGGGCAGUGAUUGCCACUCACACUGCAACCCCUCUUCAUACCGAGGCUGAUUCUGUCCCAAACCCAGGCCUGAAUUGACUGAAAUGGGUCAAGAUAAUGUGUUCCCUCCAAAACAGUCUUAUAAUCCAAUAUAUAUUCAUCUUAAUAAUAGCAGUUUCCCAAGGAUCCUGGGUGGUAUUCAGUGUUAGUCCUACUCAGAGUAGACCCAUUAAAGCUAAUAAACAUGACUAACAUAGAUUCAUUAAUUUCAGUGGGUUUACUCUGAGAAGCACUUAGCUGAAUACAACCCACGGUCUCCAACUUAAAACAGAAAAACCAAAUCAAAUGUUUUGAGGCAAACCCCAUUUUCAAUAAAGCAGACAAUAUUCUACUCAUUUCAAAGGAUGGGUUGGGGAGAAUAAAUUCUAGGGAUGUUUCCAACAUAUUUCUUGAAAAUACAUCAUCUCUUCUGUCUCUGAACGUCCUUAAUUUUGUUAAAAAAUAACACUUUAAGCUUUUGGGCAGUUCUUCCUAAGAACCAGCAUCUUACUGUUAUUUUUCUUAGCAUAUCCUUUCAUUAUUAAAAGCUUGGUUCUGCAGCUGUCUUGCAUACAGAUCCUCCUUUUGAAGUCCCAAUAGCUUCCAGUGCUGAGUGGACUGCAGACUUUGCCUCUGUGUGUUUUGGUUAUGUAACAGAUUAGAUCACUAUGAGCAUAGUCGGAUGAUCUCAACAGAGUGGAAAUGAGGGAUUUGAGCAGGAGAAAGAACGAGAUAUAGCGUUUGUUUUAGUUUUAUUUAAAAAUGAUUGCUACCCAAGAUAGCAGCAAGCCGUUGAAUGUGAAAGUAACCACACCAUAGCAAAUGCUACCUUCCUUUCAUUUUUAUAUUAGAAAAAUGUUUCCCAUGUGGCAAAUAAUAGGAUUAUUGGGAGUCAAUCAAAGCAACACAAGGGACUAAUGAAAGAAGAGGGGGAAAGAUACAUGGCUUUCUAAACAUCAUCAGAAAUCUGUAGGUCUCUUUAGUUAAAUAUUUGGGAAUGGCUGUCUAGUAAAUUAUUUGGUUAGCCACAUAAAUAAAACGUUAUCUCAUCUAUAUUUUCCUCAUCCCUCUGAGUAAAAUUCAUGCCGCAUCCAAUUUGGAUACAAAUAUAUAGUCUGAUAAUUUGUCAAUAGCUAACAUGUGCUGUGGAAGUUAAAGGUCAAGGCAGUGCAAUAUACACUCUUAAAAAUGCCACUUCUACAGGAGACUAAGGGGCUGGUUAGCACAGUUGGUUAGAGCGUGGCACUAAUAAUGCCAAGAUCCCUGUAUGGGCCAUUGUACAUACUUCGUACAGGAGAUGAAACGAGUUUCAAGCACAACCUGCAAAGUUAAAUGUGGGUAGUUUAUAUCCAUUCCGUAUCUGUCCUAUUUUUUUCAUAUUCAGUAUGCCUUAGUAGGCAAGUACUUUUUGACUAUAAAAGAAUAGUGGUGUGUGUUUUUUUUUUAAAAAAAACCUCAUUACAUUUAUAUAUGUCGACAUUGAUCAUUGUGCUAAUUAUGUUUAUAAAGUUGGGGUCCAAGUCCAGUUGGCUCCUCUGCUACAGUAGGAUACUUUUCCAUUCUUACCCCUGCUGAGUUUUAGUAUCUGGUAGCUGUUUCCAUUUCACAUAGCAAGCAAGUGGCAUAAUAGUAUGCUGAUUGUGCUGAAUAAUGGAAAUGUAUUCCCCAUAGGAUAAGUGACUUUGUGGCAUACUACAGAUGUAGCACUAAACUGUGACCCCCAUCUGCACUCUACAUUUUAAAGCAGCAUCGUACCACUUUAAACAGUCAAAGCAGUGCAAGGUGGUAGCACACAAGCAUGAGACUUAUGUAUGUAUUACCAACCUAAACCAUAGCUUUGUAUUACAUCCAUACCAGGCCUGUGUUUGUGCCAGCAUGUGUAUCUGCAAGAAAUUAUUGUCCUCAUCAGAAAAUAAAAAAGUGCAAGUUAGGAAGACACCCUUUUCUAAAGCACAGUUCAGUCCUGCUUUACCUUUUGCUACCUCUUAUUGUGCUUGCGCAGAGAUCUCAACAACAUGCCCUUUUAAAAUCUGCUUUUGGUUUUUCUUGGAGAGGUGUCAUUUUUCGCUUCAAGAAGCUGAAAGUUCAUCAUGCGACUCAACAGAUCAGUAAAUGAAGUUCUCGAGUGUUACACACAUGCAGUGCACACUUCAGACAAGCAGCUAACUUCUCCACUUCUGAUAGCAUUCAACUGAAAUCUCAAUUUUCAUAAUGUUUUAAUGAAGAAUGAAAAGUUGCCUUAAUGUGGAUGAGUAAGCCAUUCCUCAAGUCAUC